rnacentral:lncRNA from 1 species
AUGCCUGAAAUUGGUAUUUGAACCACCAACUACCUCCGUGAAUAUGUUUGUUUGCUUAAUGGUUUGCGUUGAAGUUGUGAAAGGAAAUGCAAUUUCUUAAAAGAAGGAGAAUGCAGAGACAAAUACAGAAUGGUUCACGUGGCCACCCUCAAAACAAUAAUGUCGUAUACAUUAAGCCUGCCAAUUACUAAAAACAAAACAUUUUGCCAUGAGGAGAAGUAAGAACAUACCGAAACUUGUUUGCAAAUAGAUGAGAAAAAUUAUACCUCAAACAGAUGGGAAAUUUAUUAGGAAAGAUAGAUCAGCCCACAUGUGUGUAAUCUAUAUACAAAAAACCACUCUCUUCAUUAGCCAAAUCGUUUCAUAAAUCCAACAACACAUAAUUAUAUCUUGAACAAUGCCAAUUAAUGAUUUCCCAUUUACUUAAGCCGGACAACAAAGCCAAUGAACUGAUGAAAGAGCGAAAAAGAGAAACAAAAAACCUCAAUUAAGCAAUUAAAUGGAGUAUUACUUGAUAGAGCUGGAAAUUACCCAAUUCCUCAGAGAGAGGAUCAAGAGUGACUGAUGAGAGUGCAGAGAAACGAAUUAUUGAGAAAUUCAAGUUCUGAGCUCAAAGUUGGGGCCUCCACUUUCCAACUGGGGAAGAAAUAACAGAGAAAACACAGAGAGAGCCAAUCCACCAAAAAUAUUAAUCAAAUGGGUUUCUUCUAAUUCAAAAUUUGGACCACCCAAUUUCCGAUGAAGCAAUAACCAUUCAAAAUUCCAACAGAUUGAAGCCCUCACAGACUACAAAUUAUCAAUACCCAGCAAUAAAAAAUUUGAAAACAGUAAUAAUGAAGGAAAAAGAAAUUAAAGCUGCGAGCCAUUCUCUAAAUCUCAGGCACCAAUCCAAAUCACCAGUAAUUUGCACAUAAUGAUAAGAAUCUAGCGGUAUUUCCAUUGUUUAAAAACCCAAAUUCAAGAAAUCAUGAAAAAUGGAAACUUUAUUUGGAAAUUGAAGCUUUACCUGCAGAUCAGCAGCAGCAAACGGAAUCCAACGGCAUGUACCUCAAAAGUGAGAGAGAGAGAGAGAGUUGAGAGAUGAGUGAGAGAAUCGAUAAACAAAACCCCCCAAAAUCACAAAAGGAAAAUUGAACAGAAAACAAAUUUGCAAAUCCAAAAUCACAAAAACGAAAUUGAAACACCCACACUGAGAAAGCUGCAAUACUCACCAGGAAGCUAGCUUUUCUGGGUAAAAAAAUUGUUCGAAUCGAAUUGAAGAACCGAGGAAAAUUCUACUGGUUCAGUGGUUUUUCCAGCAAGAAAGCACCUUGUUUGUAAUUCGUGAGAGGUUGGACGGCGAGAGAGAAAAACGUAAAGGAAAGGAAAAGCGGAGAAGAAGUCACGAUUAUCGACGCGUGGGUUGCAUUCCACUGUGCCAAGUUCGAAAAUGAACGGGGAAUGGGGAGCUUGGCUGAGGGAGACAGAAUUCGAGAAGCAACGUUCUGAUUUUUUUUUUUAUAUGAGAGAGGGAAAGAGGAAUGAAGAGAAUCGACAAGAGGAGGAACCAUUUUAAGCGAUGAUGGACGCGUGGGAAUUGAGGGCAAAUUUGCCAUUUUGCUGUGAACCCAAAAGUCAAGACUUGGCUUGGUUUAUAUAAUUAAUCAAUAAUAUUUCAUAACAAGAGCUAGGUCCAUAUAUUAUACAAGGUUCUAAUAUAAUAGAUGUUGUGGCUAGGCGAGGCUUAUUGUCUAUGCGAAUUUAAGUAAAUUUACUCUAUAUUAAAUAAAUAAAUAUAUUUUUACACUUAAAAUGACACAUAAUUGUAUUGUGAUAUAUAAAUUAUAAAAUAAAAUGAUAUAUAUAUUAUAAAGUAUUGGAGACCCAAAUGUGAAAUGACAACUAUAAACAAUUAUUCAAGGUGGACGGUAAAUGAUUCAGCCAUUUACAAGAUUCAAAACGUAGGAUCACGAUCUACUGGAUGAUUGUAUUAACUAUUAGGCGGUGCUCUAAUAUAAUACAUCCAAAUGGGGGUGGACCACAUAAUACACCCAAUAGGUCGUUUUAAGCUACUCCACUGCUAAAACUAUUGCAAAAUGCGCAUUAGGAUUUAUACUUCUAUUAGCUACGCCUUUCCUUACUAGGCAAAUGAACCAUAUAGUACACCAAGAUGGAUGUUAUACACGUUGGAGUUUGAGCAGAAUUCUUUUUGUUAUCAUGUCUCACAUUGCUAGAAUUGAAAAGUUCAUAAUAUAAUAACAUUCACGUAUGAACUUGAGAAACAACAUACUACUGGUUGGCCUGGAAGGUGCAGUGAAGGAGAGGAAAGAAAGUAACAAACACGAAAGGAUAAGGACUAUCCAAUAGAUUAUAAACAAUGACUUCUUGGGGGUGAUUACAGCUAUUCAACCAUCAAUAAUGCAUUAUUUUAGUUUGGAAUUUGGAAGCAUUUGAGAAGUAACAUGACAACAACCACAUAAUAAACAAAGAUGAUUAGAAAAAAGACCCGAAUGUGAAAGAAUAAUUAAAAACAAUUAUUCAAGAUUAGUGAUAAAUGAUUCAACCAUUUACAAGAUAUGAACUUAGAACAACAAUCUAUUAGAUCGUUGUAUUAAUUAUUAAGUGGUGCUCUAAUAUAAUAGAUCCAAAUCGGAACGGACCACAUAAUACACCCAAAUGGAUCAUUUUUAGGCUCCACUGCUAAAAACUAAUGCACCAUGGGCAUUAGGAGUAGACUUUUAUAGCUAUCUUUCCUUACUAGUCAAAUGAACCAUACAAUACACCCAAAUGGAUGCCAUCAUGCCAUAUAUAAACAAUGUUUUGAAAGGACAAGGUAGCUAACGCUGUCUUUUUAUAUAUGUAAGCAACAACCCUAAAUGAAUCUUAUUGGAGCUAAUUAACUAAUGUAUUUAUUAGACAGUUGGAUUCCUUAGCAAGGGGUUAACUAUUUUUGUUUAGAUUAGUAGUCAGGUGGUAAUUAAUUAGUCAAAUGAACCAUAUAAUACACCCAAAUGGAUGUGCAUAUAUAAACAAUGUUUUCGAAGGAUGAAAUGACUUUCUUGCCGGUAUGGGGGAAGAGGAUUGCGCGAAAAUUUUCGCACUAAUCUAAAUAUUGUGUUUCAAGCUUUGAAAAACCAUUGAAGCUUUGAAAAGUUUGGUGAUUUUGUUAGGUUAUGUGUAUGAGUGACAUUAAUAAUUUUCAACUUCCCAAGCAAUUGUUACACAAAAUUAAAUUUAAAAUCCAAGAGGCCGUGGUUACAGCUAUUCAACUUUUGUAGAUUUUCCGGUUUUAUGAGAUUGGCAUUCUUUUUCAACACAACUUCUAUUGAGUUCAUAUAAACUAUUAUAUGAAGGAGAAAUGGUAAAAAGACUCCCUCAAAAUCCCAAAUGUGAUAGGAGAAAAGACACAAAUAUGAAACAAUUAAAAACAAUUAUUCAAGGUGGGUAGUAAAUGAUUCAGUCAUUUACAAGAUUCAAACAUGGGACCACGAUCUACUGGAUGACUGUAUUAACUAUUAGGCGGUGCUUUGAUAUAAUACAUCCAAAUGGGGGUGGACCACAUAAUACACCCCAAUGGUUCGCUAAAAACUAUUGCAAAAUGCGCGUUGGGCUUAUACUUCUAUUAGCUGCGCCUUUCCUUACUAGGCAAAUGAACCAUAUCCAAAAUGGAUGUUAUACACGUUAGAGUUUGACCAUAAUUUUUUUCGGUUAUCUCAUUGUCUCACAUUGCUAGAAUUGAAAAGUUUUAAUAACGUUUGUGUAUGAACUUGAGAGACGACAUACUAUCGGCCGGCGGGGAAGGUGCAGUGAAAGAGAGGAAAGGAAGAAAGAAGUCAACACGGAAUGACAAAGACUAACCAAUAGGUUAUAAGCAAUUACUUCUUGGGGUGAUUACAGCUAUUCAACUAUCAACAACGCAUUAUUUUAGUUUGGAAUUUGGAAGCAUUUGAGAAGUAACAUGGCAACAACCACAUACUAAACUAAAGUGAUUAGAAAAAAGACCCAAAAUGUGAAAGAAUAAUUAAAAACAAUUAUUUAAGAUAAGCGAUAAAUGAUUCAACUAUUUACAAGAUAUGAACUUAGAACAACAAUCUAUUUGAUCGUUGUAUUAACUAUUAAGUGGUGUUCUAAUAUAAUAGAUCCAAAUGGGGACCGACCAUAUAAUACACCCAAAUGGACCAUUUUUAGGCUCCACUGCUAAAAACUAAUGCAAAGUGGACAUUAGGAUUAAACUUGUAUUAGCUAUCUUUCCUUACUAGUCAAAUGAACCAUACAAUACACCCAAAUGGAUGGCAUCAUGCCAUAUAUAAACAAUGUUUUGAAGGGACAAGGUAGCUAACGCUGUCUUUUUAUAUAUGUAAGCAACAACCCUAAAUGAAUUUUACUGGAGCUAAUUAACUAAUGUAUUUAUUAGACAGUUGGAUUCCUUAGCAAGUGGUUAACUAGUUUUGUUUAGUUUAGUAGUCAGGUCGUAAUUAAUUAGUCAAAUGAACCUGCAUAUAACACACGCAAAUGGAUGCCAUAUAUGCAUACUAUUUUUGUUUAGUUUAGUAGUCAGGUCGUAAUUAAUUAGUCAAAUGAACCUGCAUAUAACACACCCAAAUGGAUGCCAUAUAUGCAUAUAUAAACAAUGUUUUCAAAGGAUGAAAUGACUUUCUUGCCGGUAUGGGGGGAAGAGGAAAGAAACUAGCACGAAACUGCAGACCCUAUCGAUCCAUUAUAAUAAAUUUCAAUGGUCCAAGUUGUAAGUUAAUUGUGUAACGUAAAAACUUAUUUACAGUUAUCAACUUAACCACGUACAUGUGGAAGACAUUAUCUCAGAAAACUAGAAAGUUCAAUUGCAACUCUACACAACUGAAAGCAAGGCUCGCUCAAUAGGGCUUGAGUUUUUUUGUAAACUUGCGUAUUUUUGUAAACGCAUCACAUAGUAGUUAAAACAUCCGGCCGUAAAUAAAGGGUUUGAGUGUCACAUCCUAGCUCGGGGCAGACCACUUCCCGGGCUCACUCCACUACCGUAGCAUGAUAUUGUCCGCUUUGGGCCCCGACCACGCCAUUACGGUUUUGUUUCUAGGAACUCACGAGCAACUUCCCAGUGGAUCACCCAUUAUGGGAGUGCUCUGGCCACCUUCUCGCUUAACUUCGGAGUUCCGAAGGAACCCGAAGCCAGUGAGCUCCCAAAAGGCCUCAUGCUAGAUAGGGAUGAGAAUAUACAUUUAAGGAUCACUCCCCUGGGCGAUGUGGGAUGUUACAAUCCACCCCCCUUAGGGGCCUGACGUCCUCGUCGGCACACUUCCGGCCAGGGAUUGGCUCUGAUACCAUUGUCACAUCCCGGCCCGGGGCAGAACACUUCCCGGGCCCGCUCCACCACCGUAGCACGAUAUUGUCCACUUUGGGCUUACCAUUCCCUCACGGUUUUGUUUUUGGGAACUCACGAGCAACUUCCCAGUGGGUCACCUAUCCUGGGAGUGCUCUGGCCCCCUUCUCGCUUAACUUCGGAGUUCCUACGGAACCCGAAGCCAGUGAACUCCCAAAAGGCCUCGUGAUAGGUAGGGAUGAGAAUAUACAUUUAAGUAUCACUCCUCUGAGCGAUGUGGGAUGUCACAAUCCAAUUGUAACAGUGUCAUGAUCAGACUUGUAAGACUGUCUUUAAUAAGAAGUUGUUGCGUUUUGUCAAAACUAGGUAUGGGCAACGGUUAUGGCGGGCGGGUAACCGCGGUUAAUUAUCCAUAACCGUUUAUUCUCAUACAUGCAUAACUGUUUACCCGUUGGGUAAUUGUCUAAACGGUUAUACCCAUACCCAUAACCGUUUAUAAACGGUUAACCAUAACCAUAACCGUGUACCCAUUUAACCGUAACCGUUUAGUACCCAUUUACCCAUUUAUCAUUUUUAAACCCGUUUAUCCUUUCUUUUUUACCAUUUACUCAUUUUUCACGCAUCUACGUGUUUUUUUAACAACUUGAAAAUUAAAAAAGAAAAAUUUGUCAUAAUUUUCUUUUUCUAACAAUUAAACACCGUUGUAGUAUUCAUCAUACAUUUCCGUAUUUUAAUUUUUAAGUCCUUAUACCAUUUCAAUAAUUGAAAUAAUAGUUUACAGACAAUAUUUUUAAUUGUUAGCAAUGAAGGUAAUAUAAAAUUUGCUAAGUAUUCUUUGGUUACGAAAACUGUUAAAAGACAGUAUUCUUGGGUUAUUUAACUCAGAAUGUAUAAUAUAUAUAAUGGACCAUGAAAUUUAAAGUGGUUAAGGAAAACUAUAUUAUAUUAGCUAUAGAAAUCAUGCACUAUAGUCAAUAGCAUUGAUCUAAGUUUUGUCCGAUAGUGAACAUGGUUUGUGUUAAUUUUACAUAUAUAAAAUAAAUGGGUAAAUGGUUACCCGUUUAUAACCACGGUUAAUACCCAUACCGCCCAUUUAAAUUUCACGAGUAAACGCCCAUAACUGUAACCGUGAAAUUUAAAUAGGCGGAUAACCGCAGUUACCCAUAACCAAUGAGUAUUUACCCAUCCCUAGUCAAAACCGGUCCAUCUAAUUACAAAUUGUAACCAUAUUAGUUGAGUGCAUAUGCUACAUCACAUUUAGUGAAUAUUCAGUACGGGUGACACAUGGUCAGACUUGUAGGUUGUUCAUUAAGAAGUUAGUUACCACGUUCUCAAGAGUGGAGCUAGAGGGGAGCACUUCCCUACCAAAGUGUUUUCCUUCUCCCCUUUGCAAGGGAUUUGUGUCACUAUUAGAUAGGAGAUUCAAACACAAGACCUUCAAUUGAGAGGUAAACGCUUUUACAAAGCUUCUACGAGCACCUUCUUGUUUACCAAACUUAUUGAGACUAAAGGAGGUCUUAACGCCAUUUUGGCUAAUACUAUUCUGUAUAUUUACGAAUGGUUUUAAGUUUGGGUUUAAUUGGAUAAUCAGAUAGUAGUGCAUCAAACUAUGGAUAUUCAGAAACCGAAAGCAUAAUUCAUAUUCCUCCAACAAGUCCACGCAAAUAACCACAAUCAGAAUGUUAGUUCAUAACUGGCCAUAUAGAACGCAGUACAAAAGCACUAAAAGCGUCCAAGUGAAAGUGCUUUCUCCUCAUGUAGUUUCAUUUAACUUAGUUUCACAUGCCACUCCGUCACACACUCAACUCCUCAACGUUCGGGCUCAAAGCAUUCUUUAUCCCUUCUGCACGAGAGACAAUAAGUUUAAAGUUCUUGUGAUGAAAUCAUGUAAAACAUUCAGAAAUCUUGAUUUAACCCUUUAUCAAGAUCAUAGGUUGUGUCAUCUCAACUUAUAUCUUAGGUCUUAUGAGUGCUCGUAAUACACUAAUAUGACACUUGUUUUCUGGCCAGGACAGAAACAAAAUCAUGCAGGAAAUUGUCAUGACAACUUCAGUGUAAAAUAAAGGUCGUACCCAGUGCACAAGGCUCCCGCUUUACGCAGGGUCUGGGAGAGGUGAAUGUCGGCUAACCUUACCCCCAUUUAUGGAGAGGCUGCUCCCAAACAACUUCAGUGUAAAAUGCGACCGGAAAAACACUAAACAAGAUUGCUAUGCUCUCUUAGUGUAAACCUUAACAACAAAGACUAUACCGUAUCUGUCACAGUGAUAUGCGACCAUAAGCCCAACUCCAAGAGCUUUGAAGGCUACAAAUCAAAAGUUACAUGCAGUGACGACAUAAUCAUGAAAAAAUACAAUCAUAAAUUAAAGGAAAACAUACCGACUUCUAGUUCUGGCAAUUCACUAUUGGGCCAUAUAUUUGAACCACAGUAUGAUGGAUACCUACAAUACAGAUCACAAAUAAAAUCUGAGCAGACACAAAGUAUUAUGUUCUGUUUACACAAAAUCUGUAAGUUCUCAAAUAGGAUAAAUAAAGAUAAACAUAUCCCAGCAUAAAGACGAUUUGUCCUGGCUAAUUCUAAGAAACCUUGUAUCAAAUGUAUGAUAGUUAUUCAUAACUAACACAAACAAUAGUUUUGCCGAACAUUUCUGGUCUGAGCCGUAUACUGUGUGACCUCAGACAAAACAGAUCCCACAUGGACCCAGAUUAUGAUUGAUGUCCCUAUAGACUUUUACCUUUGAAUUAGAGAUUCAUCUGUUGUAGGGCUUCCAAUAUUGGAUUUGCAUAAAACGAGCCUUUUAACGUAUCUGCAAAACCAGAACAGAAACGGAAAAUGAAUGAUCCUACGUUCUUAGAGUUUCCAAAGAAACAAAAUUUAAAACAAAGAACAUAAAGUGAUACCAGGCUUUCCAGAUUCCAGCUUCUCUUUUCCAUGACUCCAUCCAAAAUUGUACCUAAACAUGGAUGGCAGGUAAAAAGAAGAUAAGCAAUAAGACUUUGUAAAGAUUCCCAAGAAAAGCAAUAAAACUACGUAAAUAUUAGUUAAUAAUGCCAAGACCAUAGUCUGUGACAAAUCCAAGAGUUGAGAUGAGACUAUCUUUCAGGCAGGAAUUUUUGGAAUUUUUCUCUAUUGGGACUAAAAUGAAAGCAUAACAAUGGGACUAAAAUGACUUAGCUACUAUGAGGAUCUUCAAGUUCCUUCUUCACCUCUUCGGGCAGAUUGGCUAAUCUAAUAAACGAAAAGAAAACUCCCAUGAGCAGUGCUAUAACAAACUAUCUUCCUAAAUUCAUUAUGAAUUGCAGUUAAAACUUAAAAUGAACAUGAAAAUCCUACGUAGAAGGGAUAUACCUAGGUGACAAGCCUAGAAGAUUCUCACGCAAGGAAGAAUAUCCCGGAACCUACUGCCAUUAAGGUUGUUAUUAAUAUCAAUUCAUGUAUAUUUCCGCAUGUGUCAUAUUAUUAAGUUAGACAGUGAAAAAUAUAUAUCGGAUGUUAUGAGAAUAUGUGUGGCUGUCAAGCUUGACACGUGAAUAACAUGCUCUCUACUACUUUAUUACACUGUGAAGAUUUUAUCCAAAAUUAAUUGACGAUGAGCGAAUAAACUGAAAGAUUAUGCGCUACUUUGAUUAUGCAACGAGUGAAGAGGCAAUUUACGCCAACCUCCAGUCAAGAAUUUGGACUCACAAUCACUAGCCAAUAUGCUUUUUUCUCACAUUUCCCCUGACACGGCAAGUUCAUUGUUCAAUAUUCUGGUUCUGGUGUCCUAUGACCCUGACACGGCAAGUUCCACUUUUUGUUCAUUUUCUUGACGAAACCAUCACACUUACCCUUACGGCACGGCACGGUUCCGGGCAUAGAGCAUGGAUUGGGUUUCGUUGCAGUCCCGACACUACUUAGCACUGUAGAGAAGGAAAUACAAAGACAAGUUUGGAUUUCUUACAACGUAUUGAGUCUCUCGUCAUGGCUCUUGCUGUGUUGUUCUUAUUUCACAUCCUGUUUCUCGAGUUUGGUGUUUCCGGUUGCAAAUUUGGUUCGGCAGUGUAGUGCUCAAGAGAGGGGACUGUCUCACAUUGUUCCAAGCAGACACAGGCGGUUGACAACGAUUGCGAUAAUGUGUUUUUCUACUGGGAGAACAUACAGCAGUCAGCAGUCAUCUUUUCACAACCGUCUUCAGUAUUUGGAGGCACCUCAAGAAAUUAUCAAGGACAAACGAAUGUAGAAAAGAAGAAAUAUCGAAGUUAGUUGACAAAAGGGGCCGAAAAAUUGUGAGAUACAGAGAAGAAGAUUAGACGAAACUCGAUGCAAAUUUUAAGCUAGAUUAGUUAUUUUUCAUUAACGAGCGAUACAGAGAAGAAGAAACAGCUGCAUUUGGAGAAAGCUGCUUUAGUUGCCUAGUUUGUAACAUUAGCUUUCUGUAAUUCCGGGGAAGAAACAGGAGUAAAAAAAAAACACAAUCAGGCAGUACCAAAAAAGAAAAAUGUACAAUUAGGAACAAUCGCCACUUCUCAAACUUUGUAGUAGAUCCAGGUAUCUGAUGGACUCGGGGCUAAUGUACCUGCAUUAACAAGAAACAAAAAUCAGAUUUGUGGAAGGGAGUCACAUAGUGGUUAAAAUACUUGGCCGUGCAUGAAUGGUUUGAGAUACCAUCAUAGAGGCAUCCUCCAGGUGUGAGUUUCUCUCGUAUCUGAUCACUUAUUAUAAGAAUAUCAGUAGUGAAAGUGAAAUACCCGUGUCGGGAAAGGAAGUCAAUGAUGACAAAAGAGCAAUUUGGCUUGAAAUAUUGUGUCCUCCGUAUGAUGCUUGCAACAUGCAUCACCGAAUCCACUUGAAGCUCUCCACCUCUCCAUCUGUUAAAUGUUUCAUAAGCAGCAUUGUUAAAGUUCUCUCUAUUUGGGGGGAUAUUGCAGAUGGUUUUGAAUGAAGAAAGGCAAAAAUUCAUGCAGAAGGCAUAAUUUACAACUAGUUUUGUAAAAGCUAAGCUCUAAAGGUCUCACCUUGAUUCUUUGGCACAAAUAGCUAAAGUUUUGAGAUGGGACAAAAUGGGUCCCAAGACCCACAUACAGCGCAUCCGAUGGUGUUGAAAUCCUUUUCCCAGUAAGUCAAAGAUAAGCGCCAAGAAAGACAUGACAGUGUUAAACUUAAAACAAAUACAGAACUAAGAAUUGAUGCAUGAAUCAAACAGAGAAAUGGUACAGGCCAUUCUCUUUAUAUUCUUAUAAUCUAAACAUUUCUCCUUAUCAACACUGGAAAAACAGCUUGCUUCAGUCAUAGGAAAUAAAUUGCGCCUGGAGUAUAGAAAAGACAUACCUACAGAUCCUCCUCCUGGACUCUUUGCCGCUAUACGUGAAAACCCAACAUCUGGGAACAAACAAAUUACAUUCUCUGCCAUAGCAAGAACAGUCCUCUGAAAUGUAUCCAUACAAAGUUAAGACACAAAAAAUUCAAAAAGGCAAUGUAAUUCACAACAUUGACAAUCUCUGUCUGACAAGGCAAUAAUACCUCUGUAAUGAUCUGGUAGUGACCGUGACCUGAUAGGCCAACACCAAAGCCCAUUGUUAUGCCAUCCAUGAAGAUAGGGCUUCUUGUACUCAGAGAUUUUGCAUAUUAGAGAAUACUCAGCAGUGAAUACCUGAAAAACAUGCAGCACAAGUAUCAUACCGGUAGCCUCUCAAUCUUAAGAAAUGGUAGCUUAGAAAAGAUAUGAAUCCUAUCCAACCAAUACAAAUCAUAUUACCCAAGUUCAAGCAAAAUCACGACUAAACAAAUGAUCAGAUGUUGUAGGUUGCCCGAGAAUGUCAAACAUGAAAUUACAAAAGAAAAAAAAACAAUCGUAUGUAUUGAACAUUAAUAAAUACUUGCUGAAAGCACAAUCUUAGCUGCAAUUUAUGACAUUUAUACGAGAUUGAAUAGCCAAAGCAAUUAAAGAAGUAGCAGAACUCAUAUAAGUGAUUUUCACUUUGAACUUUUAGGCUUAUCAGCAAAUACAUCAUUACGAUUCUAACGCAUGAAUUUUGUUAAAAGGGGCUUGCUUGCUUGUAUUAAGGCUUAAUCAUCAAUGAUUUUGCAAGGGUCAAUCGUCUUGCUAGUUGUAAAUCCAUGCACUAUGAAAAUUACCAAAAUUACAUCUUAUAUGGUAGAGAAGGAAGUCAUCUUAUAUUAUCUGGAUUUUAGAAGACGGUGUAAGGUUAUAAGUCUGUUAUUCUAUAUAGUUUAAAGGACACAAUUAGACAACAAUCAUAUUCGGUGGUUGGUUUUUGGCCGUGAUCUGCUUCACAUCACCGCCCGCAGGUAAUCUAAAUCUGGGUUAUUACUUAUCAAUGAAUCAAAGUGCCAACUUAUCGGACACCAACUAUCUCUCUAUGGCAAAAAAAUAACACAAAAAGGAACAAUGAAGUGAAACAAUAAACAACAUGACAUGAAACAGCACAAACAUCAAAGACCAACAAUCUAUCACAUAAGCACCUAAACAAGAAACAACUUUAGUUCAAAGCAAAGCGUAAUGUAGAAACCUUCAGCACAAGAGGCGUGUUUUUGUCCUUUUGAAUUUCGGCAACAACAACUUUAAUAUCCUUACCUGCAUUUACCAUGAUUGGUCACUCUCAAAACCUUACCUAAGAGACCCAAAAACCAAAAUAACUGCUAAAAGAGCUGAACAUACAUAUCUAGAAAAACUUAUUCAACUACAUGCUAAAAUGGAAGUGUAAAAUUGCCAGGAAAGAUAAGAAACUAUUCAAAUACGAGUUCUGGGCGUUACCGCCACAAAAGGCACGAGCCGAGCGGCUAUCAACAAGAACACACUUCACAUUUGGGUCAGAUUCCCAUUCAUCCAGAUAGCUCUUGUAUUUCACAUCCAAAUCUGCAUUUUCCAACAAUUCCCACUUAAACAGAAACACAAAAUUCUUCCAAAAAGAGCUAACUUCUUUGAAAUUUGAAUCCAACGUUUCGUCUUAUAACAAAUGCAAUAACAUAGAUUUGUAAUCAAUACGAUGCCAUAAAGUUCAAGCUCAAAAAUUCAAAUCAUCUCCAAAUCAAAAGCAAUUACAGAUAUAUACAUAUAUACAUAUGCGUGUGUGUGUUUAUCUACAUACCUAGGUUUAUGGCGUUGAGAGCUCGGGGGGCGACCGAGGGUGAUGACGGCGACGCCAAAGGUGCGGAGAAGGCGAGGGGAUUUGGAGGGUUUUGUAAAGAGGGGAUUUGCUCAGAAUUUGGGUCGCUCGUCCCUCUUAUGAGAGUGAUUCAAAAAUCGAAAAAGUUGAAAUUUAUUGAUUGUGAUCUGACUCAAACAUGUGAUGAUGACGAUGCAUCACAACCUUGGUUGUGCCUCUGGAUCAAAAUCCUGUUCCAUCAAAUUCGUGCUCAUUUUCCUUCAUAGGUUUGUCCCAUACUAGAUUAACCCCUGUUCCCUUAAUUGUCACAUUACCAUAUUUACUGUAUGGCUCUGGCAUUUCAAAAGUUAUAUCAACUUUAUCCCCGCUUUGCAAAUUGAGCUUAUCAUUCGAUAUUUGUCCCUGCCAAAGAUAACAUUUUCCAGAUACAUUGCACAUUUUUAUAACCCAAUCUUCUUUGCCUAUGUAGGUCUGCAACUCAGUACGCUUGGUAUUAUUUAUAUCAAUAUUGGCACGAGGAUGACAUUCUCCACAACUGGCAUAAGGGCUUCUUGACUCAUUAGUAUUUGAGCAGUAAAAGCAUAAUAGAGUCAGUCCUUCCAAAUUACGACCAUCACUCGGGAGGAUAUCAAAACUGACUUUAUUACCAUCGUUGACAAACUCGAACCAAUCAGGAACAUAAUUCCCAUUGAGAAAAAUGCCAUCACUUGGGAGGAUAUCAAAACUGACUUUAUUACCAUCGUUGACAAACUCAAACCAAUCAGGAACAUCAGGAACAUAAUUCCCAUUGAGAAAAAUGCCAUCACUCGGGAGGAUAUCAAAACUGACUUUAUUACCAUCGUUGACAAACUUGAACCAAUCAGGAACAUAUUUCCCUUUGAAAAAAAUAUCCGCAAGAAGUCCAUCCCUACAUAUACAGUGCAAGUGUCAUAUUUAUAUAUAUACACACACACAAUGUACAUGUGCGUUGUGUGUGUGCAUGUGCGCAAUAGGAAGACAAUUAAAGAGAGAUACCUUUAGGACGUUACUCAUAAAACCAGCGGUGAGUUUGGGGCAGUACCUCAUAUUAAAAUGUCGUGGAGUUUAAUGACUUAUCCAAGUCUGGAACCUCAGUGAGUGCGCGUGAAUCACAUACAUGUAGCUCUCUCAUAUUCGACAUUUUCGAAAAAUUGGGCAUUGUUACCAAACGGGAGCAAUCAGACGCAUACAGAAAUUUCAAAUUUGUUGGUAAACCAUAGAUUGUAUGAAGGUUACGGCAGUAAUUUAACUGCAAACGUUCAAGCUUUGAAAAACCAAUGAGGCUGGGUAAGGUAUGAAAAUCAUUACAUGUGAGACACAAAUCUUGCAAAGAAAUUAGACUCCCAAAAUCUUUUGGGAAUGCAUCAUCGCUUAAGCGCUGGAAUGAGAGAUCUAAAUUUCUUAAAGAGUCUAAGCCGUGUAACGAAUUGGGAAAUUGUGUGACAUGCCCCCUUAAAAUGAAAUCAGUGGUAAACCAUGAUUUCCGUAGAAAUAAAUGAGUGAGAUUCUUCAAUCUUACUGUGGAACGCGGUACUUGUCUUAUGGCUGUUUCAGACGCUUUAAGUACUCUCAAUGAUAUCAUCUUCCCUAAAUCCUCGGGCAGUUCAUUGAAUCGCCUACAAAAAUCAAGAACAAGAGUCUGAACGGAUUUGGACUUGUAGAAAUCCCCAGGAAGAGAAAUAAGAUUAUGGCAGCAUGUGAGGUUCACCAAAGAAAGUUUUUUAAGCUGACCAAUGGAGGGGUGAAUCUCGAACAAACUCUCACACCUUCCCAAUAUCAACUCUUCAAGACUUGGGAGAUUUGAUAAGUCUGGUGAUUUUUUUAAGUCACAGCAAUUACUGAGAUUAAGGAUUUUCAAGUUUUCAAGCGACUGUUGCACAAAAUCCAAAAGGUCAUACCCAGUGCACAAGGCUCCCGCUUUACGCAGGGUCUGGGAGAGGUGAAUGUCGGCUAGCCUUACCCCCAUUUAUGGAGAGGCUGCUCCCAAGUCUCGAACCCGAGACCUACCGCUUAUGGGCGAAGGCAUUUGUCAUCGCACCAAGUGCGACCUCUUUGGGGAAAUCCAAGAAAAAUUAAAAUUAAUAUCCAAAAGGAAUAUCUCAUAAAAUAAAUAAAUAAAUAAAUAAAUAAAGAGAGAAGGAAAUCCAAAAACAAAUAGAAACUUAACAUCAUCAUGUGUAAUCGAUUGUACCUUGGAGCCCUCCCAAACUUGUACCAGUUUGCUAUGCUUUAUCUCUAAAAUAACUAGUGUUCUUGGUUGAUCAAAGAAGUCAUCUGGUAUGGACUCUAAAAGGUAUCCUUCCCAACGCAACCAUACUAACUCUUUGGGGAGAUGUUUGUAUUCUCCAUUGAGCUGCACGUUCUGGAGCAUGAGCAGUCUCAGUUUCUUCAUAUUAGCAAAUGCUUCUGUACUGAUACAACUAGACUUUAAAGGGAAUUCUCCACGGAGCUGCACGCGGUGGAUCAGUCCCAGUUCCCUCGAAUUGGUAGGGAAACUUACAACAAGUCCUUCAACUUCUUUAGUUCCCUGUUAACAACACAUUAUACUGGGUAAGAAAAGGAUUAUGUGCAUCUAUUUUACGUGAUUUUGCUAAUUGAGCUUCUUAAUGCAAAUACAUAUAUUUACACAUGAAUUUUUUAAUGUAUAAUAGGCAUACGUGGGUUACAUAUAUGCUUUUCUUGUACGAUGCAUUAAUACAAAUUUUUUUUGGGAAUCUACUUACAGAUUUAUUUGUUAGUACAUCAUAGACAUCUCCAGGGAUCCACAACCUGCUCCAUUCUCCAGGGGGACGAGUGGAUUUUUCAGAAAUGAUUAAUUUGGCCAUUUCUCGAAGCAAAUCAUGCAUAUUCAACUUCUUGUCUUCAACAGUUAUAAGGCAUCGUUCACGGAGGUUACUGAUUCCUAUUGUUGCAAAAAACUUACAUUCAUCUAAUAUUUUUGCGACAUCGUCCUUAUCCCAUCCAAUAAAGAAACAAGAUAUGUCAAGGAAUAUAUCCUUCUGCGUAGGAUCUAGCCUUUCAAAGCUUACUUUUAGCGGUUUCAUUAUUCCUUCAUCAUGAAAUUUUUUCAAUUUCUUCAAUUGACUUUUCCACUCUGCUGGGGUUCUUUCAGUCAUAGAAGAACCUAAAACUUCAAGGGCUAGUGGCAAACCACCACAGUAAGAAACCACCUCUUUUGAGAGUUCAAGAUAUCCUUCAUUAGGCCAACUAUUUCCAAAGGCAUGCCAACUAAAGAGCAUCAGGGCUUCUUCUUCAUUCAUUUCUUGAAGCGGAUAUGUCUUGUCCACUUUCAUGUUCACUUGCUUUAGUAAACGUUCAUCUCGUGUCGUUAUGAUAAUUCUACUUCCUGGGCCAAACCAAUCACGAUUUCCAGCCAUUGCAUUUAGUUGUUCCACUUUGUCUACAUUGUCAACAAUGACAAAUACGCUUCUACGUCGGAGAUGAUUUUUUAUCAGACUGAUACCUCCAUCAACACUGGUUAUCUUAUUAGACUCGGUCUGUUUCAAGAUGUCAGAAACAAGUUUUCUUUGCAAAUCAACCAGAUCAUAUUCGCUAACGUUGGCAAGGAAACUUUUGAACUGGAACUUAUGAUGAAUUUGGUUAUAAAUGGCUUUGGCAGCUGUUGUUUUACCCAAUCCACCCAUCCCCCAAAUUCCAACCAUGCGUACAUCUGAUCCACCAUUUGAAAGAUAAGUGAUGAUAUCUUGAAUGCGGGUAUAUAUUCCAACUGGGUGCUUGGCCACAUGUAAUUUUUCUGCGCUCGGAAGCCAUUCCGGGAUAAUCUUGUCAACAAUUUCUCUAAUAAGCUUUGCUUCGCGCCUGAAAAUUGAAUUCGUAAGCGUUAGUGGGACUCAAUGAACAGUAGGAGCUAUCAGUACAUAGACAAUUGUCUUUACUUCAUAAAAGAAAGAAAUUCAUUCACUAAAAUGUUUCAAAACUUGAAAAGCAGGUGAAUGAUUACCCAUUGUUAGUGAUUUGAAGAUGUUGGCCAAACAAAUUUGCAGCUUCUGUAAGAGCCUUUCUCCAUUGCUUUACCCUUUCUUGUUUAGCUUCACGUUCCUUGUCAUCUUUUUCUUCAUGGAUGCCCUCUUCGUGCUUCUGAAAUGCUUGAGCUAAAUCUCCGUUCUGCUUCCUAAUGUGAAGGAUCAACAUGAUAGAAUAUUGGCAAAACACGUCGCCCCAGUUUGUAUCUGCACUCCAUGAUCUUCACCAGCUCGUCAAGACACCAACUCGAGUCCGCAUAACUCUUUGAGAAGACAAUGAUAGAGAUCCUCGCCUCUUUGAUUGCCCGGACCAGUUCCUCUUUUAUUUCUUCCCCUCUUUCUAGAUCGUCCUCAUCGAUAUAAGCCUGGUAUCCCCUGUCAGUUAAUGCCGCAUGGAGGUGGCCCGUGAAACCAUUGCGUGUGUCUACACCGCUGAAUCUCAAGAACAUGUCGUAAUUCCAAAGUUUUGACUUGGAGGACGAUGAAGAGGAGGCUUCGUGGGUCGUCAUGGCGGUAUCCACCGUUAUGGCACUGCAGUGGUUCAGAUCACGACUGAAAAAUGGCAGUAGUUGUGCUCAUGCUGUCGAACGAAUGAUCCUGAAAUACCUAAAACCCAAGUCAAGCUCCUUCAGUCAACAAGAAUAAAGUUUUAAUAUAAUAAUGUUGGUGUAUGGACUUGAGAAACGACAUAAUGUUGGCCGGAAAGUGCAGAGAAAGAGAGAGGAAAAGAGGAACAAAAGGAGAAAGACUAUCCAAAUGAUUCUUGGCUGUGAUUACAGCUAUUCAUAGGAGAAACAACGUACAUAUUUUCAUAGGAGAAACAACUUGCCCAUCUUCAUAUAUAAUACAUUUCAACAGACAUAUUUUAAUAGGAGAAACUAGGGGUGGGCAAACGGGUCCAGGAACCGCAGGUCGGGGCGGGUAAUGGCGGUUCAGGGCGGGUACAGGCCGGGUCUUAUUUUUUUAAAGAAGAAACGGGGUGGGGGCGGGGAGGUGGUAUUUAUGGGGCGGGUCGAGUUCAAAUUUGUACAAGCAUGGGGCCCCGGGCCGACCCGUUCCUAAAAUGGACUGAUUGGAACCUGGACAAUAUGUUGUGGGCUUACUACACAAGGCAAUGGCCCAUGUGGGCUUACUGCUCGAAUACUCUAGAAACUAUGAUCCGACUCCUAUCUCUCCUGGAUCGAUCCCCAAAUCCCACUACUCUCUCUCCUCGUCGGCAUCACCGAACACAGAACCACCGAUUCACCACCAUCGUCACCCAUCACCGCCGUGGCGACCAUCACCAUCGCAGACGCUAUUAACCGUUAGUUUCACCCUAGGUCUCCCCUAUGUCUAUCACUCAAGUCCUCGAUCGUUUCUCUCCCGCGUGCGUCAUUCCCUCCACGGUUCUUCCACUACACUCUGUCACUCUCCGUCACUCUCCGUCAGUCACCUCCUCCACCACCCCGACAUCAACCCCGUCGCGAGUCUGGGCCCUGGCGACCACCACGACGAGCCAGCAACCUCGAUUGUCUUCCUCGAGUCCUCGAUGGCAUCCCAGAUUUAGAGAACUUUAGGGUUCUCUUUCUCCCUCCCACCCCUCGAAUCGACUGCGUCGACAUCAAAUCAGCCACCACACGAGUCACGAGGCUUCAAAUUCGGCUGGUGACUGCCCAAUCUGGUGCGACUCAACCGAUUCCGAGCGCUCUUGACUCUGUCGACGAAGAAGAAGAAGAGAAGAAAAAAAAAAAUAACCCGUGGACCCGGGCCGGGUUAGGUCAGGUUUCUGUGUUAAAAUUAGUUGUACCCGCCCCUGCCCGACCUGUUUCUUUUAAACCUGGGUCCGGCCGGUCCCUUCAAAAUUGGGCCCGGCCCUGGGCCCGGCCCGGCCCAUGCCCAGCCCUAGGAGAAACAACUUUAGUUUUUACUAGAAAUUUUUACCCACACGUUGCUACAGGAUUUGAAAUUGUAUAAAAGAUUAUCUUUGAAAUAUAUAAUAGAUUGUGUGAUUGAAGAUUAAUACUAUUUACACUGAAAACGUUGGGAAAAGUUUUACAUACAAAAGAUUUUACAAUACAAUCCACAUACAAAAGAUGGUAAAUUUUUUUCUAUCUACAUGCAUUAUGUUAUGGAAUGAUAUAUAUAUAACUAAGUUCCAGAAUACGUAAAUUUCAUAAUUUCGAAUUUUUUUGACAAAUUAAUCAGAUUCAACUGUGGGAUAGAAAGGUCGCCUAUAAAGUUGUGAAGUCGUGGAAGCAUAAAGGACAAAUAACAAAUGAGUUUUGAGAAAUUAUUCCACAAAAGUCAUUUUGCAAAAUGCAAAUGUAUUAAAGACGAUUGGUACAAGAUUAGUAAUCAUAAGUAGUGUAACAACAUCAACAAAAUAACUAUAAACCAUAGUUGAACAUAAUUCAAAUUUCGUUUGCAAAAACAAAAGAAAAAGAAAGAAAACAUACUUACAAUAAUUCAGCCUUUAAUCCUAAAGUCCUACUCAAAGAUCCAAACUUGAAUGCAAGCUUUCUGAAAUCUUCCAAACAAUACAGAUAAAAAGGUAACACCCUAGUCAGAAAUGAACCAAGGUGCGAGCUUUCUUAGAAACUCAGAUGAAAAAAUCAACAAAAUAGAAUGAAAAAAUGACUUACACUUUUAAGGCAUGCUCGAAUCGUGAUCUAAAAUUGGUGGUGGGUCGAUUGUUGGUCACCAACUCUAAAUGAAGAAUUCAUCAGAACCUAGAAAUUUAACAAAGAAUUUUCCAAAAUCAACAUUUACUAAAAACCAGUUACUUGGUUAUCAUGCAUGAUGGCUUGCCAAAGACUAAAUUAAGGAAUGCACAACUUUACCUUUAUGAUAUUUUCAAUGACAGCUAAAAGGUCAGAUUCAAAUGAAAAUAAAAGUUAGGACUUCACAAAACCAAUUAAAAAUCUAAUUCCAAAGUUACAAACACCAACCAAAUGAUUCCAGAUAAAGUUUUAAACUCAAAGUCAGACCCAAAUGAAAUUAAAAGUUAGGACUUCACAAAACCAAUUGAAAAUCUGAUUCCAAAGUUCCAAACACCCACCAAAUGAUUCUGGAUAAAGUUUAAACUCAAAAACCCAACAGAAACAAAAACCCAAAGUUCCAAACACCCACCAAUUGGUGUGACUUAAUUGUAUCUAAUUGAAGAAACUAAAACAAAAAUAAAGCAAAGUAUAUACCUCAAAAUAUCAACCAACUAAGUUCUUCCUCCGACAACCCAAAACUCUGAAAAUUCCACACAAAAAGGGUAAAUCCGUAAGCAAUUCAUAGCUUUCAAAAUUAACAAAAACUUGGGCAACAAUAAAGACACGUUGAGAACCAUCACUCUUUCUCCUUGUGUAUUUGAAAAUAUAUUUUAUAAGCAGUUUAUGUAGUCAUUCUGAUCAUGUUGCAGUUAAAUUCCUUUUCCACAGAGUUCAAAAUUAUAUGGCAGUUUAUGGCAUCUGUUGAACAACAUGGUUGAAAGAUUUAAAAUUGAUACAUUCAAUUUUUAUGUGUAAAACUAUAACAUAUACCUAAAGCUAUUUGGUCUAUAUAUCCAUAUCAAUCAUGUUGUAAUUAAAUGUUUAUCGAUGUAAAUAGAUGAUUUCAGUCAUGUGAUAACAUGUUUCUUGUUAGUAUACGCUGAAGUUUGGUCUAAGUUGGAUAAAAAUCGACCAAAAUCUUAGUAAGAGACUCUUUUAACUUUUAACCAAAAAAUGAGCACCACAAUACUACACUCAUAAGUUUUAUCAUGCACAAAAUAUACAACACUGAUAGCCACUUUUAGAGCAAGAACAAUACUUUACCAGACGAAAACAACAAAACACUCAAAACCCAGAAACAGAAACACACUUAGGACUCAAACUCCUCAAAAACAUAAGAAAGAGAGUGCAUGAGGAGAGAGAAUAAAAAAAAAUAUUAUUUUUCACAAACUCAAAAUUGCUUAUAAAAUUACAAAUCAAAACAAAUGAAUGCAAAUCCAAAAUUGCCCUAAAUUAAAUCUGUUUAGUUAAAUGUUUGUUGCCCUUCAAAUGUCAUUACACCUGACAAUUGCUUUGAAGUUGAUAUUUUGGUCAAUCCAGGGGAAAAGGAGUUAUUUCUUUUGGAGCAGUUGUCAUGGAGAAUCCCAUCUCCAUGUUGAAUGAUCUAAAAAAUUACUUACAUCUUCUGGUGGCCACAAUAAUUUAGGAGGCCCUUCUCUCCAGAUUUUCUCAAUAACUUUGCUUUUCGUAGCUGGUAAGAUUGCAACUCCAAGAAUUGCUCUGAAGAGAUAUAUACAAACAAAAUCAACCUAAAACUAAGCUAUUGGAACAAAUUUGGAAAACACAAACACCACUACAACUCAGAGUUAAAGUCAAUAGAAACCAAAUGGGAGAAGUUGAAAAAAUAUAUGGUCAUGAAUCGAGAACUUCAUCAAACUAACAGCAAUAAAAUCUCAUAUAAUCUGUCUAAAACCAAAAGAGAGAGAGAGGUAAUUUCAAGACCUUGUAACGCUAAGGCCUCGUACAGUUGUAGUAAUAAUAUAUGGUUGAUGCACCUGUUGCUCAAUCAAAUCCUUUGUCUGGCUAAAAAAAUAAAAAUCUAUAAAUACAUUCACGUCCAAUUUAUGAGAAAUCAUGGGAAAGCAAAUGCACUGAUAACGGAAUCAUGAAUAUGAAGAACUUGCCAAAAAGAAAAAGAAAACUUCUUAUAGUGUGCCAAGAACAUCCUCCUACUCCUAGCAAAUUUUUUAUGGCAUUAUCCACUUCUCAAUUCAUAAUUCAACCAGUAACUCAAAGUCUAUAGUGUAUGAAAAAGUGAUAUCUUAGUUGAUCACGAUGAUAAUUAAGCAGAUUAAAUGACGACCCAUAAAGCAUACAAAUUCAGAAAAGAAAAGGUUCAAAACUGCCAUAAGAAAACACAGAAUAUAUAAACGGGAAAUCAAAAGAAGAGAAGCGAAAAGGAAGAAAAAACCAAACAAAAUUAUUAGGUUUGUGAUAUACCUUUAUCCGAAACGCCACAAUCAUCAAAGUCAAACAUAAACAAUCCAAAAAUUUGUGGAAAAUAACAAUAAAUGCUUAACUAAAAACGAAAGAAAACGUAGAAUAAGUUUACAUGUUCUCCCCCUAAUUAAACUGGAAUACAAUUCACCACUAAUAUUCUCGUCAUCCUCUUCAGCCUGAAAAAUUUAGUAGAAAUAUUCAAUGAAGACGCUUAAUGGAGACAGUAAUAUUAGCAAUGGAGGAAUUGAAUUGAUAACUAAAACUGCAAGACCAAAUGACUACAAUAGGUUCACAACAGAAACUCGUCUGUUAGAUGUCUCAUCUUUAGGCAGUGCCUUGUUCUUUUUUUUUCUUUUUUGUCCUUUUGAAUUUCGGCAACAACAACUUUAAUAUCCUUACCUGCAUUUACCAUGAUUGGUCACUCUCAAAACCUUACCUAAGAGACCCAAAAACCAAAAUAACUGCCAAAAGAGCUGAACAUACAUAUCUAGAAAAACUUAUUCAACUACAUGCUAAAAUGGAAGUGUAAAAUUGCCAGGAAAGAUAAGAAACUAUUCAAAUACGAGUUCUGGGCGUUACUGCCACAAAAGGCACGAGCCGAGCGGCUAUCAACAAGAACACACUUCACAUUUGGGUCAGAUUCCCAUUCAUCCAGAUAGCUCUUGUAUUUCACAUCCAAAUCUGCAUUUUCCAACAAUUCCCACUUAAACAGAAACACAAAAUUCUUCCAAAAAGAGCUAACUUCUUCGAAAUUUGAAUCUAACGUUUCGUCUUAUAACAAAUGCAAUAACAUAGACUUGUAAUCAAUACGAUGCCAUAAAGUUCAAGCUCAAAAAUUCAAAUCAUCUCCAAAUCAAAAGCAAUUACAGAUAUACACAUGUAUACAUAUGCGUUUGUGUGUUUAUCUACAUACCUAGGUUUAUGGCGUUGAGAGCUCGGGGGGCGACCGAGGGUGAUGACGGCGACGCCAAAGGUGCGGAGAAGGCGAGGGGAUUUGCUCAGAAUUUGGGUCGCUCGUCCCUCUUAUGAGAGUGACUCAAAAAUCGAAAAAGUUGAAAUUUAUUGAUUGUGAUCUGACUCAAACAUGUGAUGAUGACGAUGCAUCACCACCUUGGUUGUGCCUCUGGAUCAAAAACCCACCAUCACCAUCAAAAUCGUGCUCAUUUUCCUUCAUAGGUUUGUCCCAUACUAGAUUAACCCCUGUUCCCUUAAUUGUCACAUUAUCUAAUGUAACGUAUGGCUCUGGCAUUUCAAAAGUUAUAUCAACUGUAUCCCCGCUUUGCAAAUUGAGCUUAUCGUUCGAUAUUUGUCCCUGCCAAAGAAAACAUUCUUUAUAUACAACAUCGCGCAUGAGGUUUUUUCUUUUUUUGGCGUAACAAUCGCGCAUUUUUAUAACCCAAUCUUCCUUGCUUAUGCAGGUCCGCAACUCAGUACGCUUGGUAUUAUUUAUAUCAAUCCUGGCAAGAGGAUGACUAUCUUUACAUCUGAUAUAAGGGCCGAACUGAGAAGGACUUGAGCAAUAAAAGCAUAACAGAGUCAGCCCUUCAAAAUUACAACCAUCACUCGGGGGGAUAUCAAAAGUGAUUUUAUUACCAUCGUUGACAAACUCGAACCAAUCAGGAACAUAAUUCCCAUUGAGAAAAAUGCCACCAUAUCCGCAAGAAGUCCAUCCCUAUAUACACAGUGCAAGUGUCAUAUAUAUAUACAUGUACAUGUGCGUUGUGUGUGUGCAUGUGCCCAAUAGGAAGACAAUUAAAGAGAGAGAUACCUUUAGGACUUUCCUCAUAAAAUCAGCGGUGAGUUCGGCGCAAUACGUCAUAUCAAUCCAUGUCAUGGAGUUUAAUGACUUAUCCAAGUCUGGAACCUCAGUGAGUGCAUGUGAAUCACGUACAUUUAGCUCUCUUAUAUUCGACAUUUUCGAAAAAUUUGGCAUUGUUAUCAAACGAUAGCAACGAGACGCAUCCAGAAAUUUCAAAUUUGUUGGUAAACCAUAGAUUGUAUGAAGGUUAUGGCAGUAACCUAACCACAAAUUUUCAAGCUUUGAAAGACCACUGAGGCUGGGUAGGGUAUGAAAAUCAUUAGAUGAGAGAUCUAAAUUUCUUAAAAAGUCUAAGCUGAGUAACGAAUCGGGAAAUUGCAAAUGAGUGAGAUUCGUCAAUCCUAGAGAUAAAUGAGUGAGAUUCUUCAAUCUUACUGUGGAACGCGGUACUUGUCUUAUGGCUGUCUCAUAUGCUUUAAGUACUCUCAAUGAUAUCAUAUUCCCUAAAUCCUCGGACAGUUCACUGAAUUGCCCACAAAAAAUCAAGAACAAGAGUCUGAACGGAUUUGGACCUGUAGAAAUCCCCAGGAAGAGAAAUAAGAUUCUUGCAGCCUGUGAGGUUCACCAAAGAAAGUUUUUUAAGAUGACCAAUGGAGGGGUGAAUCUCGGACAAACUCUCACACCAUUCCAAUAUCAACUCUUCAAGACUUGGGAGAUUUGAUAAGUCUGGUGAUUUUUCUAAGUCAGAGCAACCACUGAAAUCAAGGAUUUUCAAGUUUUUAAGCGACUGUUGCACAAAAUCCAAGAAAAAUUAAAAUUAAUAUCCAAAAGGAAUAUCUCAUAAAAUAAAUAAAUAAAGAGAGAAGGAAAUCCAAAAACAAAUAGAAACUUAACAUCAUCAUGUGUAAUCGAUUGUACCUUCGAGCCCUCCCAAACUUGUACCAGUUUGCUAUACUUUAUCUCUAAAAUAACUAGUCUUGGUUGAUCAAAGAAGUCAUCUGGUAUGGACUUUAAAGGGCAUUCAUUCCAACACAACCAUAUUAACUCUUUGGGGAGAUGUUUGUAUUCUCCAUUGAGUUGCACGUUGUAGAGCUGGAGCAGUCUCAGUUUCUUCAUAUUGGCAAAUGCUUCUGUACUGAUACUUGGAGACAGAAGAUCAGGGAAACCUACAACAAGUCCUUCAACUUCUUUAGUUCCCUGUUAACAACACAUUAUACUGGGUAAGAAAAGGAUUAUGUGCAUCUAUUUUACGUGAUUUUGCUAAUUGAGCUUCUUAAUGCGAAUACAUAUAUUUACACAUAAAGGUCGUACCCAGUGCACAAGGCUCCCGCUUUACGCAGGGUCUGGGAGAGGUGAAUGUCGGCUAGCCUUACCCCCAUUUAUGGAGAGGCUGCUCCCAAGUCUCGAACCCGAGACCUACCGCUCAUGGGCGAAGGCACUUGCCAUCGCACCAAGUGCGACCUCUGAAUACAUAUAUUUACACAUAAAUGUUUUUAAUGUAUGACAGCUAUACGUGGGUUACAUAUUUGCUUUUCUUGUACGAUGCAUUAAUACAAAAUUUUAUAGGGAAUGUACUUACAGAUUUAUCUCUCAAUACAUCAGUGACCUCCUGCUGGUUCCACAACCUACUCCAUUCUCCAGGGUGACGAGGGGAUUUUUCAGAAAUGAUUAAUUUGGCCAUUUCUCGAAGCAAAUCAUGUAUAUUCAACUUGUUGUCUUCAACAGUUAUAAGGCAUCAUUCACGAAGGACACUCAUUCCUAUUGUCGCAAAAAAGUCACAUCCAUCUAAUAUUUUUGUGACAUAGUCAUUAUCCCAUCCAAUGAAGAAACAAGAUAUGUCAAGGAAUAUAGCCUUCUGUUUAUCAUCUAGCCCUUCAAAGCUUAUUCUUAGUCGUUGUAUUAUUUCUCCUUCAGGAGUUGUUUUCAAUUUUACCAAUUGAUUUUCCCACUCUGCUAUGGUUCUUCCAAUUAAAAAAGUGCCUAAAACUUCAAGUGCUAGUGGCAAACCUCCACAGUAAGAAACGAUCUUCCUUGAGAGUUCAAGAUAUCCUUCAUUAGGCCAACAAUUUCUAAAGGCAUGCCAACUAAAGAGCUCCAGAGCUUCUUCUUCAUUCAUUUUAUGAAGCGGAUAUAUCUUGUCCACUCCAACUUGGCGUAGUAAAUGUUCAUCUCGUGUCGUUAUGAUAAUUCUACUUCCUAAGCCAAACCAAUCACAAUUUCCAGCUAUUGCAUUUAGUUGUUUCAUUUUGUCUACAUUGUCAAUAAUGACAAGUACGCUUCUACGUUGGAGAUGAUAUUUUAUCAGGCCGAUACCUUCAUCAACACUGGUUAUCUCAGGCUUGGUCUGUUUCAAGAUGUCAGAAACAAGUUUUUUUUGCGAAACAACCAGAUCUUUUUCACUAACGUUGUCAAGGAAACUUUUGAAUUGGAACUCAUGAUGAAUUUUGUUAUAAAUGGCUUUGGCAGCUGUUGUUUUACCCAAUCCACCCAUCCCCCCAAAUUCCAACCAUGCGAACAUCAUCUGAUCCACCACUUGAAAGAUAACUGAUAAUAUCUUGAACGCGAGAAUUGAUUCCAACCAGGUGAUUGGCCACAUGUAAUUUGUUUGCUCUCCGAAGCCAUUCCGGAAUAAUCUUGUCAACAAUUUCUCUAAUACGCUGUGCUUCGCAACUGAAAAUUGAAUUGGCAAGCUUAGUAAGCUCAGUAGGAGCUAUUAGUACACAAACAAUUUUCUUUCCUUCGUGUGUGUGUGUGUGUGUGUGUGUGUGUGUGUGUGUAUACACACUAACUAGCUACUAGCUAGUAUGUGAGUUUGUGAUCAACUUCAAUAAAAGAAACAAAUUCAUUCACUGAUAUAUUAAAGUUUGGUGUAUCAAUUAAACUCAUUAUGGUUUAGAUUUUAGAAGAAAUUGGAGAAAUGGUCCAUGAACUAUGAUCGAAUUGUAGCUUUGGUUCUUAAACUAAAAAUUCAUUAAAUCUCGUCCCUGAACUUAACAAAAUAUGGAACAUUGGUCCCUCCAUGUUAACACCGUAAGAUUUUCUGUUAAUUUGAUAACGUCGUCUUUGUGGGCUCCAUAUUUUUGUUUAUUAGAUGCCACGUUGCUUGAAAAUUCAAAUAAAAGAAAAUAAAUACAAGCAUUGAGAAACAAAGAGAAAAAAAAAUACUUUAAAUUAUAAAAGUUAACUCUCUCCCAUCCUCCCUUCCGCCUCACCUUCUCCAAACCCCAGCCACACCAUUGUAGCACUUUCCCAACAGCCAAAACAAAAGAAAAGUUCCUCAUCCAAAUUUGGAACACACCUCACCUUGCAAACGACUUCACAAUGACAUUCAUCUACGCUGUCUCGAAAGGUAAGAUUCAAGAAAUUUGUGGGAUGCGGGUUCGGGGUUCGGGUGAAGGCUGUGGUCCGUGGGCUAAAGGUUGGGGUCGGCUGGGGAGUGGGGAUUAGGGAUUGGGGGUUGGAAGUGGGAGGUUGACGGGGUGGGAAUCAACGAUUGAAGGUGAAGGGGUGGGCUGCGAGCCUGCGAGUGUUGGUGGGAUGAGGUAGGCCUGCAAUUAUAUAUAUAUAUGUAUGUAUGUAUGUAUGUAUGUAUGUAUGUAUAUAUAUAUGUAUGUAUGUAUAUAUGUAUAUAUAUGUAUGUAUAUAUAAUAUAGGUGAAACUAACAUGUAAAGUUGUAAACACUUUUAACUAAAACUGAAAGGAAUUGGUUACGAAGGACUAACGCUCCAUAUUUUAUCAAGUUCAAGGACAAAAUAUAAUGAAAUUUUAGUUUAGGAACCAAAGCUACAAUUUUCCUCUAGAUUUGAUAUGAGAUUUAAGGCGUAUUAAUUAAGCAUGUUAAUUAGAGUAAUGCAACUUAGAUAUUGAAAAGCACGUGAAUGAUUACCUAUUAUCAGUGAUUUGAAGAUGGUAGCCAGACAAAUUUGCAGCUUCUCUAAGAGCAUUUCUCCACUGCUUUACCCUUUCUUGUUUUUCUUCACGUUUCUUGUCAUCUUUUUCUUUACGAAUGUUCUUUUUGUGUUUCUUAAAUGCUUGGGCUAAAACUCCAUUCUGGUUCCUGACAUGUGAAGGAUCAACGUGAUAGAAUAUUGGCAAAACAUGGCGCUCCAGUUUGUCUCUGCACUCGAUGAUCUUCAUCAGCUCAUUAAGACACCAACUCGAACUCGCAUACCUCUUUGAGAAGACAAUGAUAGAGAUCUUCGAUUCUUCGAUUGCCUGGAACAGUUCUUUUUGUAUUUCUUCCCCUCUUUUUAGAUCGUCCUCAUCAAUAUAAGCCUGGUAUCCCCUGUCCGUUAAUGCCCUGUGGAGGUGGCCCGUGAAACCAUUGCGUGUGUCUACACCGCUGAAGCUCAAGAACACGUCGUAAUUCCAAAGUUUUGACUUGGAGGACGAUGAAGAGGAGGCUUCGUGGGUCGUCAUGGCGGUAUCCACCAUUAUGGCGCUGCAGUGGUUCAGAUCACGACUGAAAAAUGGCAGUAGUUGUGCUCGUGCUGUCGAACGGAUGAUCCUGAAAUACCUAAACCCAAGUCAAGCUCCUUCAGUCAACAAGAACAAAGUUUUAAUAUAAUAAUGUUGGUGUAUGGACUUGAGAAACGACAUAAUGUUGGCCGGAAAGUGCAGAGAAAGAGAGAGGAAAAGACGAAUGAAAGGAGAAAAGACUAUCCAAAUGAUUCUUGGCUGUGAUUACAGCUAUUCAUAGGAGAAACAAUGGACAUAUUUUCAUAGGAGAAACAACCUGCCCACUUCAUUUAUAAUAUAUUUCAACAGAGAUAUUUUAAUAGGAGAAACAACUUUCGUUUGUACUAGAAAUUUUUACCCGCGUGUUGCUACGUGAUUUGAAAUUGUAAGAAAGAUUAUCUUUGAAAUAUAUAAUAGAUUGUGUGAUUGAAGAUUAAUACUAUUUACAUUGAAAACGUUGGAAAAAGUUUUACAUACAAAAGAUUUUACGAUACAAUCCACAUCAAAAGAUGGUAAAUUUUUUUCUAUCUACAUGCAUUAAGUUAUGGAAUGAUAUAUAGAUAUAUAUAUAUAACUGAGUUCCAGAAUACGUAAACUUCAUAACUUGGAAAUUUUUUGACAAAUUAAUCAGAUUCAACUGUGGGAUAGCAAGGUCGCCUAUAAAGUUGUGAAGUCGUGGAAGCAUAAAGGACAAAUAACAAAUGAGUUUUGAGAAAUUAUUCCACAAAUGUCAUUUUGCAAAAUGUAUUAAAGACGAUUGGGUACAAGAUUAGUAAUCAUGAGUAGUGUAACAACAUCAACAAAAUAACUAUAAUCCAUAGUUGUUGAACAUAAUUCAAAUUUCGUUUGCAAAAACAAAAGAAAAAGAAAACAGACUUACAAUAAUUCAGCCUUCAAUCCUGAAGUCCUACUCAAAGAGCCAAACUUGAAUGCAAGCUUUCUGAAAUCUUCCAAACAAUACAGAUAAAAAGGUAACAUCCUAGUCAGAAACGAACCGAGGUGCAAGCUUUCUUAGAAACCCAGAUGACAAAAUCAACAAAAGAGAAUGGAAAAAUGACUUACACUUUUAAGGCAUGCUCAAAUCUUGAUCUAAAAUUUGUGGUGGGUCGAUUGUUGGCCACCAACUCUAAAUGAAGAAUUCAUCAGAAACUAGAAAUUUAAACAAAGAAUUUUCCAAAAUCAACAUUUACUAAAAACCAGUUACUUGGUUAUCAUGCAUGAUGGCUUGCCAAAGACUGAAUUAAGGAAUGCACAACUUUACUUUUUAUGAUUAUUUUCAAUGAUAGCUAAAAGGUCAGAUCCAAAUGAAAAUAAAACUUAGGACUUCACAAAACCAAUUAAAAAUCUAAUUCCAAAGUUACAAACACCCACCAAAUGAUUCCAGAUAAAGUUUUAAACUCAACGUCAGACCCAAAUGAAAUUAAAAGUUAGGACUUCACAAAACCAAUUGAAAAUCUGAUUCCAAAGUUCCAAACACCCACCAAAUGAUUCCGGAUAAAGUUUAAACUCAAAAACCCAACAGAAACAAAAGCAUUGGUGUGAAUUAACUGUAUCUAAUUGAAGAAACUAAAACAAAAGUAAAGCAAAGUACAUACCUCAAAAUGUCAAGCAACUAAGUUCUUCCUCCGACGACCCAAAAUUCUGAAAAUUCCACACAAAAAAAGAGUAAGCCCAUUAGCAAUUCAUAGCUUUCAAAAUUAGCAAAAACUUGGGCAACAAUAAAGACGCGUUGAGAACCAUCACUCUUUCUCCUUAUAUAUUUGAAAAGAUAUUUUAUAAGCAGUUUAUGUAGUCAUUCAGAUCAUGUUGCAUAUAAAUUCCUUUUCUACAGAGUUCAUAAAAGUAUGGCAGUUUAUGGUAUCUGUUGAAUGACAUGGUUGAAAGAUUUCAAAUUGAUAUAUUCAAUUUAUGUGUAAAACUAUAACAUAUAGCUAAAGCUAUUGGGUCUAUAUAUCCAUAUCAAUCAUGUCGUAAUUGAAUGUUUAUCAAUGUAAAUAGAUGAUUUCAGUCAUGUGAUAACAUGUUUCUUGAUAGUAUACGCUGAAGAUUGGUCUAAGUGGGAUAUGAAUCGACCAAAAUCUUAAGAAGAGACUCUUUUAACUUUUAACCAAAAAUGAACACCACAGUACUACACUAAGUUUUAUCAUGCAUAAAAUACACAACACUGAUUGCCACUUUUAGAAAACAACAAAACACUCAAAACCCAGAAACAGAAACACACUUUAGGACUCAAACUCCCCAAAAACAUAUGAGAGAGAUAGAGAGAUAGAGAGAGAGAGAGAGAGAGAGAGAGAGAGAGAGAAUAAAAACAAUAUUAUUUUUCACACAAACUCAAAAUUGCUUAUAAAAUUACAAAUCAAAACAAAUGAAAGCAAAUCCAAAAUUGCCCUAAAUUAAAUCUGAUUAGUUAAAUGUUUGUUGCCCUACAAAUGUCAUUACACCCGACAAAACUUGCUUUGAAGUUGAUAUUUUGGUCAAUCCGGGGGAAAAUGAGCUAUUGCUUUUGGAGCAGUUGUCAUGGAGAUUACCAUCUCCCUGUUGAAUGAUCUAAAAAAGGACUUACAGCUUCUGGUGGCCAUAAUAAUUUAGGAGGUCCUUCGCUCCAGAUUUUCUCAAUAACUUUCCUUUUCGUGGCUGGUAGGAUUGCAACUCCAAGAAUUGCUCUGAAGAGAUAUAUGCAAACAAAAUCAAACUAAAACUAAGCUGUUGGAAGAAAUUUAGAAAACACAAACACCACAACUCAGAGUUAAAGUCAACAGAAACCAAAUGGUAGAAGUUGAAAAAAAUAUAUGGUGAUGAAUCGAGAACUUCAUUAAACUAACAGCAAUAAAAUCUCAUAUAAUCUGUCAAAAACCAAAAAAGAGAGAGGUAAUUUCAAAACCUUGUAACGCUGAGGCGUCGUACAGUUGUAGUAAUAAUAUAUGGUUGAUGCACCUGUUGCUCAAUCAAAUCCUCUGUCUGGCUAAAAAAAUAAAAAUCUAUAAAUACAUUCACGUCCAAUUUAUGAGAAAUCAUGGGAAAGUAAAUGCACUGAUAACGGAAUUAUGAAUAUGAACUUGCCAAAAAGAAAAAGAAAACUUCUUAUAGUGUGCCAAGAACAUCCUCCUACUCCUAGCAAUUUUUAAUGGCAUUGUCCACUUCUCAAUUCAUAAUUCAACCAAUAACUCAAAGUCUAUAGUGUUUGAAAAAGUGAUAUCUUAGUUGAUCACGAUGAUAAUUAAGCAGAUUAAAUGAUGACCCAUAAAGCAUACAAAUUCAGAAAAGAAAAGGUUCAAAACUGUCAUGAGAAAAUACAGAAUAUAUAAACAGGAAAUCAAAAAAAGAGAAGUGAAAAAGGAAGAAACAACCAAACAAAAUUAUUAGGUUUGGGAUAUACCUUUAUCUGAAACGCCACAAUCAUCAAAGUCAAACUUAAACAACAACAACAACAACAACAACAACAAAGCCUUUUCCCACUAAGUGGGAAAGUCAAACUUAAACAAUCCAAAAAUUUGUGGAAAAUACCAAUAAAUGCUCAACUAAAAACGAAAGAAACGUAGAAUAAGUUUACCUGUUCUGCCCCUAAUUAAACUGGAAUACAAUUCACCACUAAUAUUCCUUGGUGUAUGCUUUUCGCAGACGAUAUAGUGUUGAUAGAUGAAACUCAGGAAGGGGUAAAUGCAAAGCUUAACCUUUGGAGAGAAGUGUUGGAAUCUAAAGGUCUUCGCCUAAGCCGAUCAAAGACAGAAUAUAUGGAGUGCAAGUUCAGUGCAAAUGGAGGCCAAAACGAGUUAGGGGUGAGGAUCGGAGAUCAAGAAAUACUAAAGAGCGACCGUUUUCGUUACCUAGGAUCUAUCUUGCAAAAGAACGGAGAAUUAGAUGGAGAUCUCAACCAUAGAAUACAAGCUGGAUGGAUGAAGUGGAAGAGUGCAUCCGGCGUGUUAUGUGACCGCCGUAUGCCACUGAAGCUCAAGGGAAAAUUUUAUAAGGACGGCAAUAAGGCCGGCGAUGCUGUAUGGCACAGAAUGUUGGGCGGUGAAACAUCAAACACGUACACAAAAUGGGUGUAGCGGAGAUGAGGAUGCUUCGUUGGAUGUGUGGGCACACGAGAAAGGAUAAGAUUAGGAAUGAGGAUAUCCGGGGUAAAGUAGGAGUAGCCGAAAUUGAAGGAAAGAUGAGAGAAAAUCGGUUACGGUGGUUUGGACAUGUGCAAAGAAAGGCCUACUGACGCUCCGAUUAGAAGAUGCGACUAUGGGACAGAGGUUCAGGGCCGAAGGGGUAGAGGAAGACCUAGGAAAACUUUGGAAGAGACUCUAAGAAAAGACUUAGAGUACUUGGAUCUAACGAAGGACAUGACACAGGAUCGAGCACAAUGGCGUUCUAAGAUUCAUAUAGCCGAUCCCACUCAGUGACUUGGAUUUUCCAAGUCUCCAACCGAGAAGUUUUCCUCACUCGGAAAAUUAAGGGAACACUACCCCAACCUACAUGCUCCACUCAGAAAGCUUCAACAUACAAGCUUCAACAAAAGAAAAUUCAAAGAACUUAGCGAAGAAGGCUUUGGUGUAUUAACACAAUACGUUGAAAUGAAGGAAAGCUUAUUUAUUGAUAUCCCCGAUAAGCUACAAAUAUGUACAUAUACAUGAGUCAAAAUAAACACACAAGAGGGAGCCUUCACAAAGGUUGCUUAGGAGAAGUCUCAGCAGUCGGUAGAGCCCCAGAAAGAGAAGGCACCGGAGGGGGAUCAUUUGGAGCCUCAGUACUGGACAGAACCCUAGAAGGAGGAGGCAUCAGAGGUUGAUCAUUUGGAGCUUCAUUACGCGGUACAGCCCCAGAAGACGAAGGCAAUAAAUGCCUUUGGAACAAACCCACAAAUCUCUGAUGAUCAAGUAAAACCUGACCAUCAGUUUCCUUCAUCUGGUCAAGCUUCCUCUUCAUGUUUGUAGCAUAGUCAUGUGCGAGCCGGUGCAACUGUUUAUUCUCAUGCUUGAGCCCUCUAAUCUCCUGUUUGAGACUCAUCACUUCAGCCGCCAAUGAUUCAACUUGGCGGGUUCGAGCAAAUAGGCGUUGGGCCAUAUUAGACACAGAACCUGCACACUGAACACUGAGAGCCAGCGAAUCCUUAACAGCUAACUCAUCAGACCGUUUGGAAAGUAGUCUGUUAUCUUUGGGAGUGAGAAGGUUCCUGGCCACCACCGCAGCGGUCAUAUCAUUCUUCAUCACGGAAUCCCCAACGGUAAGAGGACCAGUAGGGGAGACGAAGGAUGGGCGCCAUAUGUUGUCUGGAGAAGGCGGGGCUGCCUCUUCAACAAGGUUCAAGUCAAAACGACGGUCGGAGGGGCCAGACAUUUUCAAAGGUGUUGAAGAGAGAAGAGGUCGGACAAAUCAAGAUCUUAGAAGUGCAAGAAUGAAGCUUCUACUGGUGGAGAUUCAAGUGUGCUUUGGAACUUAAUGCCAGCCCCUAUAAAAAUCUGCACUCGACGGAGCUUCAGAAAAUCGAAGAGGCGCCUGCUCAGAAAUCGAAGAGGCGUUUGCUUUCUCAAAAGCUGGGCUGCUUAGAGAUCACGAGGGUUGAUCUCAGAAAUCGAAGAGGCGUUUGCUUUCUCAAAAGUUGGGCUGCUCAAAGACCACGAAGGCCGAUCUCAGAAAAUCGAAGAGGCGCUCGCUUUCUCAAAAGCUGGGCUCCCCAGAGACCACGAGGGCCGAUCUCAGAAAUCGAAGAGGCACCUACUUUUCCAGCCUUGUCAGCACCUGUCACACGCACACUCAGCUUUGCGGAAAUUAUGGGCAUUCUGUCGAAGACUUCUGGGGAAGUAGAAAACACAUGAAUCUUACUGUUCAAUCACCCACUUCCCACACGCAACAAUAGCUCAUGGGUACCACAGAUAACUUUGCCAAAGUUCUCUGCCAAAGUUGAGCACGUGAAGCUUGCAGCUCCCACUACAUCGCUCUGACCAAGAAGGGUAAAAGAAUAGCAAAGAAACAGCACUAACAAAGUUUAGACCCAUAAAUUUUGAAGGUCUAGCUACCAUAUUAUUACCCACAAGGGUAAAGGAACAGUACCACUGCUGGAUAAUUGGAAAGUCCCUGUGUGUCAACCUCUGUGCUUCGUGGCAAGGUAGACUAGCAAACAUGCCCAACCUUUACUCACAUUCGAGAAAACACUCCCAAUAAGAUUGCUUGCUCCAAAAUCGAAGAGGCACCGUCCUCCGAAUCUCGAGAGCCAGACUCCCAACAUGACUACUUUCUUAAAAAUCGAAGAGAGGGUAAAGGAACAGUACCAUUGCUGGAUAAUUGGAAAGUCCCUGUGUGUCAACCUCUGUGCUUCGUGGCAAGGUAGACUAGCAAACAUGCCCAACCUUUACUCACAUUCGAGAAAACACUCCCAACAAGAUUGCUUGCUCCAAAAUCGAAGAGGCACCCGCCCUCCGAAUCUCGAGAGCCAGACUCCCAACAUGAUUACUUUCUCAAAAAUCGAAGAGACACUGCUCCCCGAAUCUUCGAGAGCCAGACCCCCAGCAUGAUUGCUUUCUCAAAAAUCGAUGAGGCAUCGUUCUCCGAAUCAAUCGAAGAGGCGCUCGCUUUCUCAAAAGCUGGGCUGCUCAGAGACCACGAGGGCCGAUCUCAGAAAUCGAAGAGGCACCUACUUUUCUAGCCUUGUCAGCACCUGUCACACGCACACUCAGCUUUGCAGAAAUUAUGGGCAUUCUGUCGAAGACUUCUGGUGAAGUAGAAAGCACAUGAAUCUUACUGUUCAAUCACCCACUUCCCACACGCAACAAUAGCUCAUGGGUACCACAGAUAACUUUGCCAAAGUUCUCUGCCAAAGUUGAGCACGUGAAGCUUGCAGCUCCCACUACAUCGCUCUGACCAAGAAAGGUAAAAGAAUAGCAAAGAAACAGCACUAACAAAGUUUAGACACAUAAAUUUUUGAAGGUCUAGCUACCAUAUUAUUACCCACAAGGGUAAAGGAACAGUACCACUGCUGGAUAAUUGGAAAGUCCCUGUGUGUCAACCUCUGUGCUUCGUGGCAAGGUAGACUAGCAAACAUGCCCAACCUUUACUCACAUUCGAGAAAACACUCCCAACAAGAUUGCUUGCUCCAAAAUCGAAGAGGCACCGUCCUCCGAAUCUCGAGAGCCAGACUCCCAACAUGACUACUUUCUCAAAAUCGAAGAGAGGGUAAAGGAACAGUACCAUUGCUGGAUAAUUGGAAAGUCCCUGUGUGUCAACCUUUGUGCUUCGUGGCAAGGUAGACUAGCAAACAUGCCCAACCUUUACUCACAUUCGAGACAACACUCCCAACAAGAUUGCUUGCUCCAAAAUCGAAGAGGCACCCGCCCUCCGAAUCUCGAGAGCCAGACUCCCAACAUGAUUACUUUCCUCAAAAAUCGAAGAGACACUGCUCUCCGAAUCUCGAGAGCCAGACCCCCAGCAUGAUUGCUUUCUCAAAAAUCGAAGAGGCAUCGUUCUCCGAAUCUCGAGAGCCAGAUACCACAGACCACUUUUUCAAAGUGCUCUGACAGAGUUAAAACAUGUGAAACUGGCAGCUCCCACUACCGUGCUAUGACCAAGCAGGGUAAAGGAAUAGCAUUACUACUUGUUGUUAGGGAGACUCCUAUAUAUGUCGACCUCCAUCCCCAACGGACAGGCAGACCUGCAAAAAUGCUCAACCCUUCAUCAUAUCUGAGAGGGCACUCCCAACGAAGCCUUUCGAAAUAUUCAGCUUUCUUUCCCCCCGAUAAUACCUCUGCAAACAAGCUAUACUACUAGAGCAAGAAUAUCUCAUAUCAUCAGGGUUAAAAGCAAGAGUAUCCCAUAUCAUGCUUUUUCCCUGUCUUUUCCUUUGGCCUUGUUUUUUACCUGCAAGACAAGGAGAAAGAGAGAGCAAUCAGUCAGCACUUGGAAUCAAGCUUCCAGCCAGGAACUGACUGCCUGGAACCCCUUACCUGAUUACUUACCUGGCAUUGCUCUCGAGUACUCAUCUUCAACAUCUUAUGUUUCCAGGGAAGAUUCCGCAUCUGCUUGAGGAACAGAUAGGGCAAGUGCGAAGGAUACAAGGAAGCAUGUGGAGACAAGCGUAACAGCACACGUGCCGAUACAUCCAUUACUCUGUCAAAAGCAAAAGUAUCCCAUAUCAGCAGGGUGGAACGUACUCUAGAUUUGAUGGACUUGUUUUGACCCUCAAAUUCUUCAGUCGGCCUUAUACUCUGGAGGAAACCAGAAAACCCUCCAGCUCAGUUCAAGAAUAAGCCUGUGGAAAGUUACUUCUUCAAAAGCAAAAGUAUCUCUCAUAUCAUCUCUUCUCAUUUUUUCUUCUCUUUAUCCUUCAUGCUGCUGCAAGAUGGGGAGAAGGUGAACAAUCAGUCGGAGCUCUGAUUGCUUACCUUGUCUGUCACCUCUUUCAGCAGACCCCCUAGCUCGGCGACUUGGGGGACUCCUACUACAUGGUUUGUAUCGCGCUUGACCAAGCCUGAAACUACAAGUAAGCUUCAAGUGAAAUUGAUACAUUACCUUGUGCAUCUCCACCAGUUAAAGAUACCACCCCUGGAUGGAGGAAGAGUACUUCCAGAGAAGAUGCCACAUCUACCUAUGAGACAGAUAAGGCAAGUCAAGACGACACCACACUCCGAUACUUAGAAGUUUCGUGAUUACGAGAUCAUUCUCCCACAAUAUUUCCUAAUGUCAUUUGUACUAAAUCAUUCACUUGUACUCACUAAAGGAGAGCUUGAACCUAUGUACUUGUGUAAACCCUUCACAAUUAAUGAGAACUCUUCUAUUCCGUGGACGUAGCCAAUCUGGGUGAACCACGUACAUCUUGUGUUUGCUUUCCUAUCUCUAUCCAUUUAUAUACUUAUCCACACUAAUGACCGGAGCAAUCUAGCGAAGAUCACAAAAAAGCGACCGUUUUCGCUACCUAGGAUCUAUCUUGCAAGAGAACGGAGAAUUAGAUGGAGAUCUCAACCAUAGAAUACGAGCUGGAUGGAUGAAGUGUAAGAAUGCAUCCGGCGUGUUGUGUGACCGUCGUAGGCCACUGAAGCUCAAGGGAAAAUUUUAUAGGACGGCAAUAAGGCCAGCGAUGUUGUAUGGCACAGAAGAAUGUUGGGUGGUGAAGCAUCAACACGUACACAAAAUGGGUGUAGCGGAGAUGAGGAUGCUUCGUGGGAUGUGUGGGCACACGAGAAAGGAUAAGAUUGGGAAUGAGGAUAUCCGAGGUAAAGUAGGAGUAGCCGAAAUUGUAGGAAAGAUGAGAGAAAAUCGGCUCCGGUGAUUUGGACAUGUGCAAAGAAGGCUGAAUGACGCUCCGGUUCGAAGAUGUGACUACGGGACAGAGGUUCAGGGUUGAAGGGGUAGAGGAAGACCUAGGAAAACUUUGGAAGAGACUAUAAGAAAAGACUUAGAGUACUUGGAUCUAACGGAGGACAUGACACAAAACCGAGCGCAAUGGCGUUCUAGGAUUCAUAUAGCCGACCCCACUUAGUGGGAAAAGGCUUUGUUGUUGUUGUUGUUGUAUUCAAUGAAGAUGCUUAAAGGAGACAGUAAUAUUAGCAAUGAAGGAAUUUAAUUGAUAACUAAAACUGCAAAACAAAAUGACUACAAUAGGUUCAAAACAGAAACUCGUCCGAUAGAUAUCUCAUCUUUAGGCAAUGCCUUGUUCCCUUUUUUUUUUUUUUUUUUUUUUUUUUUUUUUGUUGCAUGUCUUGUGAACUUCAUGUAAAUCAACAAAAUUGAUACCUUAACCAACAAUGGAGAGGUAAAAAGUUAAAAACAGAAGGAAUGUCUUCAGUUUUGUAAUGGAUUUUGCAAGUCAAAUUCUGUUCGAGAAUUUGCAACCCAGAAAGUCCCAGCAAUUAUUAACAAUCACAGAUAAGCACCGAAUGAAGGCCAAUCUAAUAAGCCAAAAUAUGUAGGGCACUAAAGAAAUUAUUGCCCAGUAACAAUGAUAGAUAAGCACAUGUGAAACUAAAGAAAAUUUUCAUUACUAUCAACUCCAAAAAAAAUUACCUAUGCAAUCCAAAAAAUGUUGAUACAGAGUUGGAGUAUCGAUGCCUGAAAUUGGUAUUUGAACCACCAACUACCUCCGUGAAUAUGCUUGUCACUUAAUGGUUUGGGUUGAAGUUGUGAAAGGAAAUGUAAUUUCUUAAAAGGAAGGAGAGAAUGCAGAGAAGAAUACAGAAUGGUUCACGUGGCCACCGCAAAACAGGUUAAUAAUCAAGCUUCACUAUGAAUGGAAAGAUUAAUAGAUGAUAAUUAAGAAGGCCUGAUACCCAAGCCGAAAUCAGAGAUAUCCUUUGUAAACAAAGAGAUUGAACAUUUCCUCUCAAAAAAUAACUUUUUUUUUUGUUUUGGGGGGGAGGUUGGGAAGGCUCAGAAAAAGACAUCCAAUAUAAUACUUAUUGCAUGCAAGGUAUGAAACAGCCUCCCCCCGAGUAAAAUCACAGAAAUAAAAGAAAUCGAAUCAAGAAAAAAGAUAAUUACACAAGAAUUACACCUUCACUAAGAAAAUAAAUUAUAAAAACGAAGACUCUGAGAAUAAUUGCCUGUGAUUUGCUGCCAAAAACAAAAAUAAUGUCGUAUACAUUAAGCCUGCCGAUUACUAAAAACAAAACAUUUUUCCAUGAGAAGAAGUAAGAACAUACCGAAACUUGUUUGCUAAUAGAUGAGAAAAAUUUAUAACUGAAACAUAUAGGAAAUUUAUUAGGAAAAGAUAAACAAAACACCUAAAUUAAGCAAUUAAAUGGAGUAUUACUUGAUAGAGCUGGAAAAUUACCCAGUUCCUCAGAGAGAGGAUCAAGAGUGAAUGAUGAGAGUGCAGAGAAACGAAUGAUUGAGAAAUUCAAGCUCUGAGCUCACAGUUGGGGCUUCCACUUUCCAACUGGGGAAGAAAUAACAGAGAAAACACAAGGCCAAUCCACCAAAAAUAUUAAUCAAAUGGGUUUCUUCUAAUUCAAAAUUUUGACCACCCAAAUUCCGAUGAAGCAAUAAUUGUUCAAAAUUCCAACAGAUUGAAGGAAAAAGUAAUAAAUUUUUUUAAAACAGUAAUAAUGAAGGAAAAAGAAAUUAAAGCUGCGAGCCAUUCUCUAAAUCUCAGGCACCAAUCCAAAUCACCAGUAAUUUGCACAUAAUGAUAAGAAUCUAGCAAUACUUCCAUUGUUUAAAACCCAAAUUCCAGAAAUCAUGAAAAAUGGAAACUUUAUAUGGAAAUUGAAGCUUUACCUGCAGAUCAGCAGCAGCAAACGAAAUUCAAGAAGUCACGAUUAUCGACGCGUGGGUAGCAUUCCACUGUGCCAAGGACGAAAAUGAACGGGGAAUGUAGAGCUGGCUGACGAAGACAGGAUUCGCGAAGCGCUCUGAUUUUUUUUUUCACGAGAAUGCGGAAUGAAGAGAAGCGAGUAGAGGAGGAAUCAUUUUAAGCGAUGAUCGACGCGUGGAAAUUGAGGGCAAAUCUGCCAUUUUGCUGUGAACGAAAGUGAAAAAAGGCACAAUCAAAGAGUAAUUUGAGGGCAUUCUAGCCACUUUAAUAAACAGUAGCUUUGUGUUUGAGAUUUAAUAUAGGUAUAUAUAGAGCCCUACAGAGCAACUCCACCCAUGGAGCCCUCCUCUCUGACAAUCUACUAUUGAAUUCACCUUUUUGAACAGUAACUGCCUUUAAUAAAUAGUAACUACCAUUAAUGAACAAUAAUUGUCAUUUGCAUCUCCACCCUUGGAGCCCUCCCCCCUGGCAAUAGGCAAUAAAAUAUUAAUUUUUUUUGUUUGUUUAAAUAAUACAAAAUAAAAUUAUUUGUAAUUUUGGAUAAGAUUUUUUAAAUCGUUCUCGUUGCGCCACGUGUCAUUUUAUAAAAAAAACAAUUAUUUAGCGAUGGAUUUCGAUAAGAUUUUUAUCCAAUGUCAUCGUGUCACAUGUCGUUAUCUUUUGAUAAUCUUUGACGAUAUCUUUCGAUCAGAUUUUAACUCGUUCAAAAUUGCGUCACGUGUCAUUAUUCGAAAAGAUAAUUAUUGGAGAUCGAUUUCGAUAAGAUUUUUAUCCAAUACGAUCUUGUCACGUUUCAUUAUCUUUCAUAAUAUUUGAGGAUAGAUUUCGAUCAGAUUUUUAACGAAUGACGGCAUGCCACGUGGCCUUAUCUACAAUCCAAUCCUUUCUGAAUCAUCCAUAUAAUCCACCAUCCAUCCUCACAAAUCUCACACCAAAUUUCUCAACAUUUCUAUCUCAUUAUUCAUAGUUUCUGCUUCUUCUUCACCAUCCAUCAUUACAAUGUCUUCUUCUUCAUCAAGGAUGAUGUGGGAAAUCGAUCAGCAAGAGGAAGAAUUGUUUAACCAAUCUGAAGGAAUGUUCAACCUUCAGAUAGCCGAAAAUGAGAUGGAUGAGGAUGAGGAGCGUAGAAGGAGAGACGACGAAACAAGAAUGGCCAGAGCCUCACAUUCCCGUUGAGUCAUCCAGACUGUUGCUCAGAUAUGCAUGCCCAACCGUUCAAGAAACCUUGGUAGAAGCAGGCAACGAUGGGGUGAAGAGCUAUUGGACGAUUACUUUGUCCAUAACAGUGCAUUUCCUGAUACGUACUUCAGACGUCGUUUUAGAAUGGAACGACAUUUGUUCAACAGAAUCAUGACUGAUGUUUACAACCAUGAUUCUUACUUUGUGCAAAAGAAUGAUGCUUGUGGUGUUAUGGGUUUCCUGCCUGAGCAAAAAAUCACUGUUGCGUUGCGGAUGCUUGCGUAUGGAGCAUCUGUAGACCAAGUGGAUGAGAUAACGAGGAUGGGGAAAUCAACCAUUCUUGAGGCCCUUAUGAGGUUUUGCGGAGCAGUCGAAUCUUUGUACACCGCAUAGUACCUCCGAAAACCUACUUGUAGGGACUUGCAAAGGCUUCUGAAGAAGGGCGAGAUGCGAGGUUUUCCUGGGAUGAUAGGAAGCAUCAAUUGUAUGCACUGGACGUGGAAAAAUUGUCCAAGUGCAUGGCAAGGCGCAUAUGGGGACAUAAAAGGAUCAAAAACUAUCAUUUUGGAGGCAGUGGCAUCUUUUGAUACAUGGAUAUGGCACGCCUUUUUCGGGGUUCCGGGGGCUCAAAAUGAUCUCAACGUCCUUGCCCAAUCCCCAGCGUUCAACGACAUCCUGCAAGGAAAGGCACCAAAAGUCACGUACAUCGUCAACGGACGUAGGUACGACGGGCCAUACUAUCUAGCUGACGGCAUUUACCCACGGUGGGAAACAUUUGUCAAAACAGUGCCACGUCCGCGAAGUGCAAAGGAAAAACACUUUGCAAGCUGUCAAAAGGGGUGCAGGAAGGAUGUGGAGCGUUGUUUUGGUAUCCUUCAAGCUCGUUGGGCGAUCGUCAGGGGUGCUGCCAGAAUGUUCGAUGUAGAGUCACUUUGAUCCAUCAUGAUGACAUGCGUCAUUCUUCACAAUAUGAUUGUGGAAGAUGAGUUCGAUUAUGAUGCGGUUGAUGAAUAUGAGCCAGAGCCAGACACGAUGAACAAUUCAAGAACACGGAUAUAUUGUGCGCAUGAUGCCACCAAAGAACCCGUGCAACAUGAGCCAUUAGAAAGGGAUGAACGUUACAAUGAAAUGGUCAUUCAACGAUAUACUGCACUUCAAAUGUCAUCUAUGCACAAUGAUCGGCAAAUUGACUUGAUAGAGCACCAGUGGACAUUAAAACAAGCUGAAGAUACUUAAGUUUAUUUAGUAUGUUUGUUUGUAUUUGGUAUGUUUAUGUAAUUUUAUUUGGUGUGUUUUUUGUAGUGAGUUUUUUAUUAUUUCGUAUGUUUAUGUAAUUUUAUUUGGUGUGUUUAUGUAAUUCCAAUUGGUAAGAAAAUAUGAAAUUGUGGUGUAAGGUAGAUGGAGAAGAAGUGGUAUUUAUAGAAAAGUAAAAACAAUUUUUUACAAAUUUUUUUUUUUAGAUUUUUUACAAUUUUUUCGGAUUUUUUCCAUUUUUUUUAAUUUUUUUUUCAAAUAAUUAAUCUCUGCCGUUGGAUUUAAAAAAAAUUGAAUUCCAACACUCCAGAUUGUGCCACGUGUCACAACGGUAAUUUUUCUUAAUUUUAAAACUAUUUUUUCUUUAUUUAUAAAGCAUAUUAAUAUCGACCGUUGAUCUGAAAUCGAACGGUUGAUAUUAAAUAAGAUUUGUUUUAUUUUUUUUACCGUUGAGAUCCAACAGUCCAAAUGAAAGAGCCGUUGAGAUCGAACGGACCGUGGGAAACCACGUGGCUUCCCAAUGGUAACUGAGACAACUGCAAAAGUGGGCUGCUUUUCUGAAAAGCUGUCAGGCGACGCGCCCCCACGCGCGAGUGGGGUGCACGCGCCUGACAAAAAAAAAAAAAAUGGGUGAAGAGCUCGGGCUCACGGCUGUCACAAAUUGACAGGCCUUCUGCUCGGGCCUUCUCCACGAGCUCGGGCUCUUCAAGACUGGAGCUGAUUGACUAGCCCUCGGGCCUUUCUUUUCCCCUGUCCCCCGGCCUACAUGCAUGGGUGGAGUUGCUCUAAGAGAAGGGAUUUCCAUUCUUGUUUUUUUAAAUGUGGACACCUUUUUUACUGUUAGAUUUGACUUUAACGAAAUUUUGUGGUUGAGAUUAAAUCACAAACCACAGAAUCUCAACCAUAGAAUUUCAUUAAAGCUAUAUUUAACGAUCAAUAGGGUGUUCCCAUUUUUUUUGAAAAAUAGGAAUCCCUUCCCUUAAGGCUUUCAGUAUAUUAUAUACACUAAAACUCAAUUGAUGAACACUGUUCAUUAACAGUGAUUUUACGUUUUAGCCCCUGUUUUGCUGUUUGUUUGCCCUUUUAUUUUUCGAUCUUAACAGUAAAAUGACAGUUUUGCCCGUUCUUUCCACGCGUCAGUCAUCGUUGAGCUCUUCACUUCAAGAGUCUUCUUUUAGGUUUAGCCUUUUCUUUGCACUGGUGAUUCUCUGAUUUCGUCUCUUCGUCUCGCCCUCUGUUUUUUCUCAAAUCCUCCAUUCCUCUCAAAUAUUCCGUUCUUUAUUUCACAAAAUAUUCAGGAGAAAGUUCCUGAUUUUCGUGUUUUAAGGGAUAUAAUGAUUUGGUGUUGUUUAUCUCAAACAGCGGGCUUGCAGGUAAAAUGUUAAGCUUUAUGUCCAAAGCAAUCUUUCUCUGCAUGCUGACUGUGUGUUGAUUUGAAGGGGUGGUUUAGUGAAUGGGUGCUUCUUAUUUUUGGCCUUUCUCUAUUAUCAUAUAUGUUUCUCUAUUCUCAGGUAUCAGAUCAUUCGAAACAAAAACAUUUUAACGUUAUUUUUGCAGGUUAAUGUUGGGUUUGAGUCCAACACGAUAUACACUUGAACAGAGUAGAGUAGAAGACAGUAUGCAAACAUGAUUUAGGACACAGUUUACCUAAUUGUAAACACUCUGUGAAAUAUUAUUAGUUAUGAACAUCCAAUUUGAAUCCCCCACAUGCUAAAUUAGGUACCAUUAAAUUAGUUUUAUGUCUUUUUUUUAUUUGAAAGCUGCUUCUUAUUUCUGUCUCUAUUAAGAUUCUGGGGUGUGCUUUGGAUUUGCUACAUAUGGUCAUAUUUUUUGUCAUUGGCUUUUUGUUCUGCUUAGUUUUUUUUAAUCGAGUGUUUUAUCUGGUAUUUCAUUUUGUUUUGUUUAUUUGUUUCCUUUUUAUGUUUAAAUGUUUUUUGUUCUUUCUAAAUUUGGGCUUCUGGGAAAUUCUUGCUCACUGUUUGGAUUCCGAGAAAAUUUAGGGGAUGUCCAGUAAUAUUCACAUCCUGAAAACUCAGUGAAAAUAGAUACCAAUUUAUGUGCAGCUGAAAAUUUUGUUAUCUGAUUCUGUUCUAAAUAACAUGAUUUAUUUGUUUUUUAAACUUUUAAUUAUUUCGUAUUUAUUUUGUGAUUGCAGAUGUUUAAAUGAUGGAGAGUUUCGCAAAGCUGUUACUCGGAGGAGACAUGUCUAGAUGAGGGAAAGGUGUCUCCACUGCCCUUGCUAUCUCAAAUGCCAUCACCAAUCUCUCUGGUUAGUCACAUUCCUCUUGGAAUAUGCAUAUUCUUAUGUGAUGUUGGCUGAUACCUUGGUGAGUCAACUUAAUAAAAAAUGUGAGAUGGACAAAUUGAAAAGUCUAUUUUCUUCUCAUAUGCAUCCUUUAACAUAUGUCAGUUUUAAUUAUUGAUGAGCAAUUGAAAAUUUAGUUUUUCUUCUCAUGGUACACUUACAUUGGUAGUUCAACAUAUGUUUGUUUAACAUAUCUUAUUAAAUGCAUUUGAGAAUCGAUUGAAGAAACUCAGUUCUUUUAGCAAUUAAGAACAAGGUAAACAUAGUUGUAAAUAUGUGUAAAUAAGAUAGGAAUUUUGAUGAAUUUAUGUUUUUUCCUCCGUUUUUCAGUGUUUUCAGGCAUUGAAGCUAAAUAUGGAGAGGGUUUUGAGACUUUUAGACCUAUUGGACCUCUCAAGGUUUGCGUGGUAAGGAGUUUAUGGAGUUAUACGCAUAGUAGGCAUUAUAUUUUAUGUUCUGUUGAAUUUAAUUUAAUGGUUAUAUUUUAUGCUCCUAUGAGUUAUUACUGUUAUGUUUACUCUGAGUAGGAUUUGUUGAACGACAAACUGCAAGGAGGUUUUCUUAAACGAAUAUGAUAUGCUAUGAAACCGAAUGAAGCUUACUGUCUUCUAUUCUCUUUUGUUAAUUUCGUGGUAAGUUUCUAUAACACUGAUUAGUUAUGUCUUCGAGGUUCUAAUGGCUAGAUAUGCUAAUGUAAUGAACUAUGGAAUAUUGUAAUAGUUUAUGGUCAAUGUGAUCCCAUAUCUGUUUGAUUGAAAUAUUGUUCUAUAACAGGUUUAAACUUUGUUUUUCCAAUACCUUAUCACAAAAUAAUUCCACCUUGGACAAAUUACAAGGUAUGCUGCAACAUGUGCUUUGAUUAAUUGCAUUCAAAUUGAUACUGCUUAAGAAUGCAUUUGAACAUGUUGAAUUUCACGCCCGCAGCAUCGCGCGGGCAAUAUUGCUAGUAUAAUAUAUAAUUGGGUGAUAAAGAGAGUAGGUGAAAGAACACAAUUUGCUCUUAAAAAUGUUGUUUUUAAGAACGAGUGAUUUUUCUUUUCUGACUCUUUCUGUCUAACCCAAAAGCAUACUGGUAAUAGGGUCCAGUAAGAAAAUUAUUUUUAGAAAUUAAACAUGAAAAAAUACAAAAUUUACAAUUUCGAAUUAUACAAAAAAGACAAAAAAAGCGCAAAAUAAAAAGAGCAGGACAGAAAAACAGAAACAAAAGAAAGGAGACACUAAGAAUACAAAUAGCGUGAUUUGAGCCCUCAAUUUUGGCAGGCAACAUGAUUGUUAACGCAUGAUUGUGAACCCAUCCAUUGAAGAAAGAAGCAUCAUAAUACACAAGAGUCAAGACUGGGCUUGGUUUAUAUAAUGAAUAAUGUUAGGGAGAUCAAAUUUUUUAAACUAAAUUUGUAAAUUAAAUGAUGUAGUUAUAGAUGAUUGGGUUAUUACUAAGUGUCGAUUAAUAUGUUUAUUUCUUAUUGGUGACAUAUCAUUUGGUUUAAAAAUUUGGUCUCCCUAGCAUUAUCCUUAUAUAAUUAAUCAAUAAUAUUCCAUAACAAGAGCUAGGUCCAUAUAUUACGAGGUUAUAAAAUAUGCUAGGUGCUAGUCGAGAGGCGGGCGGGGCCUAAGCAGAUUUAAGUAAAUUUAUUAUAUAUUGUAUAAAUAAAUGCCUUUUUAUACUUAAAAUGACACACAAUUGUAUCGAAAUAUAUAAAUUGCAAAAUAAAAUGACAUAUAGAUUAUAAAUUACUAGAACAUAAUGAACAAUCAUAUAAUGAGGGUUUAUCCAAAUAUUUAUUGGAAAACAAAAAACAAAAUGAGUGUUAUCGAUUUUCUGUCUAAAUGAAAGUUGCGGGCUAGGCAGGUUUAAGUGGGUUAGGCGGACGCCUAAGCAAGUCUAGAGCACUUUCUUAAUUUUUAAAUGAUUAGGGACUAAUUAGGGUGGUGGACAACUGCCUAGCGCUAGACAUGGGUUUUUAGAACAGUAAUUACUUGUUCUCAUAGAUCUCUGGGUUCAAGAAAAUUAUGAUCACCUAUUGUUCGAUCUUAAUACCGUCGGUAAGCGGUUAUUUAACCAUUUUUUAUAUUGAGUAAUUUUCCUGGAUCCUGAAAUCUAGAAGAACAAAACUCUUAUGUCACAUGGAUAAACAUAAUCAGGCAUAAGAAAAAGGUUGAAGAAUUCAUAAGUCAUAUAGGGGGCGUUUGUUUGCCCUCACUAAGUAUCACUGGACUAACUAUUAGUCCAGUCCCGUGUUUCUUCUGUAGAGGGAUUAUGUUUCAUGAGACUAAAGGGGAGUCACACGGACAAACUCCUUCACUAGGAGUUCUUAGCGAGAUCCCCCAAUGCCCAUGGGAUUGCUAAGACCUCGUAUACUCCAUCUUUGUAUGCUAUGUCUCAUCCUCUCUAUGCUCUCUAUUAUCUUGAGCACCAUCACACCACAACUCACCAACUCCAGUGAGAUCACACCACCAACCCACCACCACUUUCUCCCUCUCUCUUCACAUGAACCCAAAAUUUCGAACUGAGGAAGAUCCCGUUCUUACAGUAAUUCGUCCAGCUCUAGCUGUCUGCUUCGCUUCGCUGCACUUCAAACUCGACCUUGGACUCGUCUGAUUCGCUUUGAACUCGACCUCGUAUUUGUCGACUUUACGCAAUUGACGAGAUCUUGUGAACUUGAUGAUGGGUGAGCCACCCAGUGCACUUGAAGGAAUAUGGGAGGCCAAGAACGCCAAAGCCUACGACGGCAAUGAAGACGUUGGCUGGAUUGGGAUGACAGCGACGUGUUCCACAUCAAGGGCAGCGGCUUGGGAUUCUUGUUUUCAUUUGGUUUUGAUUUAAAUUAGGUUUUGAUUUCGAAUUGGGUUUGAUGUGAUCUGGUAUUGGCAUUUGAUUUGCUCUGUAAUUGUUUGAAUGUGUGGAAUAAAUUUUGGGGAAAGAGGAAGAAAAUUUAGAAAAAGAAAAAUAGACUAAAUAAUAAAAUAUUAAUAUAUAUUAGAUUAAAUAAUAUCAUAUUAGAAUUUAUUAUUAUCCUACUUCUUGGUCCGACACUGCACCAAACGCUUUACUAAGCUAAUCCAACUUAGUCUAGUCUAAGUCAAUCCAGCUUAGUUCCUGAAGUUAGUCUAGUCCAAGACAAUCCGGUGCAACAAACACAUUCAUAGAGUAAUUAUAGGGAUACUAAAUUUGUAAAUAAAAUUUUGUAAACUAAAUGACAUGGAAGUUGAUCGUUGAAUUAUUACUUAAACGUUAAUAAAUGUACUCAUUAUCACUAAAGACACGUUAUUUAAUUUGUAAAUUUUAUUUAUAAAUCUAAAGCAUUACCCAAACUCAUAAUACAAAUAGCUACUUUGAGAGAAGAAAAGAUGGAGAGUGAUAUGAUUGCAUUCUUUUUUAAAGCAACUUCUGAAGAUUCCAUAAUAAACUAUUAUUAUAUAUGAAGAUGUGCCGUGGUAAAAGAGAGGAAAAAAUGAAUGGAAAGUUUAUCCAAAAGAUUCUUGACCGUGAUUACAACUAUUUAACUUUUGUAAAUUUUCAUGGACCGAGAUCCAAGAAAAGAUGGAGAGUGAGAUUGGCAUUCUUUUUUGUAAAGGGAUUUUUUUUCCGAUCCCUUCCAUCUAAUUCACCUGAGUCAACCAUUUGAGUUCUUGAAAUUUAUUUAAACAACUAAAAUUAUUAUAACUUUUAAUGAAGCCCCUAUUUGUAGUCGUUAAAUCAAAUUUUAAAGAUUCGAAUUAGUGAAUUAGGUGGAUUAGGUGGAAGGGAUCCGAAGAAUAUCAAUUUCCUUCUUUUUCAACACAACUUUUGUUGAGUCCAUAAUAAACUAUUAUAUGAAGAAAGAAUACUAAAAAGACUCUCUCAAAAUCGAAACUUUUUGCGAACUUUUUAGCAUCUCAUGUUUUUGAGAUUAAUAACUAACAUUAUCUGAGAUUUAUUAAGUUUUCACAAAAUUCCCUUACGUAUGAGAUAUUACGCUAACAACACUUUAGUGUAAUGUCUCAAACGUAAUGGGACCUUGUAAAAUUUGAUUAACUUCGACAGUAUUAGUAUAUUUUUAUGUAAAUAUUAUAAAAUAUUAUGUUAAAUACAUUAAAUAACAGAUAGUCUUUAAGAGAGAUUUCUUACAUCUUUCUAAUGGAUACGGACGGUGGAAAAAGAUCAUUCCAUAAUUAAAUAUUGUGCUGUUGAUUACGCGUCUCUCCAUUUGACUAAGUUCCUUUUCACAUUCUUCCCUAAAUAAAAUGGUUCACUUUUCACAUUAUUACAAUAUUUAUAUUUAUAUUUUUACAAAAGGGAUUCGUCUAAAUUAAAUUUUUCGAAAAAUUUCGUAUAGUGAGUGAAAGUGAAACACUCCCUUUGUUAUGAUUAUGACAAUAUUUAUAUUUUUACAAAAGGGAUUUAUCUAAAUUAAAAUUUUCAAAAUUCCGAACAAGAUUUGAACUUUCGUGUAUAUGAAUAUAUGGAGUAAAUUGAUCAUGGCUGAAAAUAUGGCAGUGGUUGUGUUUGUGUUGCCUAACGGAUGAUAUUGAAAUACCUAAACACAAGUCAAGCUCCUUCAGUUAACAAAAACAGAAGUUUAUAAUAUGAUAAUGUUGGCGCACGGACUUGAGAAACAACAUAGGCCGGGAAUGUGCACAAAAAGUAAGAGAGAGGUAAAGAGGAAAGAAACGAACAUGAAAGAACAAAGACUAUCGAAUACAUUAUAAAACAAUGACUUCUUGGUAGUCAUUACAUCUCAACCAUCAAUAAUGCAUUAAUUUUGGUUGAAAUGUAGAAGUAUUUGAGAAGUAGCAUGACAACAACCACAUAAUAAACAAAAGUGGACGCAAAUGUGAAAGGAUAAUUAAAAACAAUUAUUCAAGAUGGGCGGUAGUUGAUUCAGCCAUUUAGAAGAUUCAAACCUAGAAUCAUUAUUGUAUUAACUAUUAACAGGUGCUAUAAUAUAGUUCUUAGGGAUUUCAAGGAGGCAUAUGGGGGACUACAUAAUGUGCAAUAGGAUUAAACUUUUUUUGUUACUAGGCAAAUGAACCAUAUUGAAAAAAGUUGAGGUUUAACCAUAAAAUUAAUUGACGAUAUAAAAAGUAGCUCAACCUCUUAUAAGCGUUUGCAAGAUUUCUCUUUUGACCUAUACAAGACUCUUUUACUUUCACAUCCUCGAACAUAUAAUACACCCAAAUGGAUGCCAAUAUAUAAACAUUGUUUUGAAAGGACAAGGGAGCUAACAGUGUCUUUUUAUAUGACUUGGACUUGGAGUACGGGCUGCAAAUUGCAUGCAAUUGCAACGAGAGCCAAAGAUAAUUGCCUUGUCCUUCAAAUUUGUUGGUAAAUUGGGGAUUGCACGAAGAUUUUCGCACUAAUCUGAAUACAGUGUUUCAAGCUUUUAAAGACCACUGAAGCUUUGAAAACUCUGUUGAUUUUACUUCCCAAGUAAGUGACAUAAAACUAAAUUGGGCAGUUGCAUGACAACAACCACUUAAUAAUCAAAAGUGAUUCGAAAAAGACCGAAAGUGAGAUGACCGCAUUCUUUUUCAGACAACUUUGGUAGAUUCCAGAAUAAACUAUUAUACAUGAAGAUGGGCGGUGGUAAUUGUCCUUUUGAUUAAAGUUUUUUGAGUCGAAAAUCAUUUUUCUAUAAUUAAUUCUUAACUAGAAAUUUGUACCAGUACACCGUUGUGGGACUGAAAAUCUUAUGAAAUAUUUUAUAACUUUAAUUUUCAUAAAUAAUGUGCGAGUGAAAAACAAAAAAUUACGAAUGGUAAUGCAAUUUAUAUGUAACCUUAUCAUGAACGGAACAAAUUUAGAUACUAAAAGAAAAAUUAAAAAUCUAUUUUUUCAAAGUGCGAAGAGAUAAUUGUUUAUUAAAAAAGUUGGACCAAUGAUAACUGCAUAAAUUACAAAUGCAAUAUUAAGAGUAUACCAGUCAAACUAAGCUUGCUACAGGCUAAACAAUGUUGAAAAACAUCAUUAGCUUUUUCAAGUGUUAUAUGCAAUGAAUGUAAUUAGCACGAAACUAGCACGAAACUGCAGAGGCUUUCGAUCCAUUAUAAUAUAAAAUAAAUAAUAAUAUUUACGUAUAAAAUAUGAUAUGAUUAUAUGAAAGUAACGACCCAAAUCUUAUUGGAGCUAAUUAACUAAUGUAUGCUCAUCAGGCAGCUGGAUUCCUUGGCAAGUGUUUAACCCCUACUUUCUUCACGCUCACAGAAUCACCAUUUGCAAAGUCAAUCGGCCUCACACCAAUAAAAACUUAAUCCCCGGCUAGUAAACUGAUCAGCUUAUCGUCCGAUAUAUGUCACUGCAAAGAUAAUCACCUUGUCUUUCAAAUUUGUUGGUAAAUUGGGGAUUGCGAGAAGAUUUUCGCACUAAUCCAAAUAUAUUGUUUCGAGCUUUGAAUGACCACUGAAGCUUUGAAAAGUCUGAUGGUUUUGUUAGGUCAUGUGUAUGACUAACGUUAAUGAUUUUCAACUUCCCAAGCAACUGUUACACAACUAAAUUUAAAAUCCAAGAGGAGGAUAUGAUCAGAGAAGAAAGAAAUGCAAUCCACUAAUAAUCAACAUCGAUAUUGUCUUCAACUUAAUCAUGAAUAAGUUUUAAGGCACAAAAGACCUCAUGCUUUUGUAGUUGAGCCAUUUAAUGUAAGGAGAAUCACAAUGUUAGUUAACCACAUCACAGUACAAAAGCACUAAAAGCGUCCAAGUGAAAGUGAAAGUGCUUUCUUCUCAUGUAGUUUCAUUUAACUUAAUUUUCCACAAUGGUAAUUAUGUUUCAAUGGUUCUGUUUUCACAUGCCAGUCGGUCAGUCACAUACUCAACUCCUUAAUGUUCGGGCUCAAUGGCUCGAAGAGAGCUUCCACUUCACUCUGAUUCACCUCCUCUAACUUUGACGGAUUCCACUUCGGAUUCUGCAUUGACAAGAAACAGAAGCCAGAGAUAAAGAUUCGUUGAUAUACGGAAAGUAAGAUGAUUAUACAACCGUAGGUCUAGUAGAGGCUGUAAUGGUUUAUGUUGCAGCAACUGCGUCAGCAAGUGAUUUUAUAGCAAGGAAUCUUGAGCAUAAUUAACGAACCUGAUCCUUGUCCACCAAAACUGCCGUACACCUUCAGCAAAAUCAUUCCGUAAAGACGAUCUUAUAGCAACGUGAUAUUCAGUUUCAUCACACCAGUUAACUGGUAUUGGUCAAGUAAAGCACAUGUUACUUUCUGAAAAUUUGAAAUACUACAACGCAAAACCUAUCAAAAGGAUGCAACCAUGUGAUGCAAGAAACGAAAAGGUACAAAGUCCAGACUCACUCUGGAUAAUUGAUUGUCAUUUUUCCCAAGCACGGAUGCAACUUUAGCGAAAUAAUUUUGUGUCAAAAAAGUGAAAACAGAGCACCCUUUCCAAGACCUUAAAGAGCUUCGUUAGCCCACUCACCACUGCAAUACAAACAAUUUAUACAAAAUACUUGACAGCGACAUACAAGCUGCUCAAUAGACAAAUGGCAUUAAAAAACUUACCAGUAGCAUCUGAACUCUGAUGCUGCUUUUUAAGUUCAUCAAUUGUCUCAAGAACCAACUUAUCUGCACCAAAUGCUGAAGUUAUUUGAGGUAAAAGAGUCUUGAGUUGCGCUUCAGAAUCUGGGUAGCUGGUGAAUUUCACCACAAUUGUUUCAAUGUCCUGAUGGGGAUCCUGGGAACUGAUUCAACAAUGGAGUUGCUUUUAUCUCAAGAAACGCAUUGGACAAUGUGAUGAUGGCAACUAAAGUUAAACCCACUGAAGCAUUGGAAAUUGCGUCUGAGGAUAGAAAAGGCAUACCUGCAGAUACUCCUCCCAGACUCUUUGCCUCUAUAUGUGAAAACCCAUCUGGGAACAAACCAAUUCCAUUCUCUGGCAUAGCAAGAACAGUCCUCAGAAAUGUAUCCAUACAAAGUUUGACACACAAAAUUAAAAAAGCCAUUGCAAUGUAAUUGACAACAUUGACAAUCUCUGUCUGACCGGGCAAUAAUGCCUCUGUAAUGAUCCGGUAGCGACUGUGACCUGAUAGGCCAAUACCAAAGCCCACUGUUAUGCCAUCCAUGAAGCUUAUAUGGGCUUCUUGUACUCGGAGAUAUUGCAUAUUAGAGAAUACUCAGCAGUGAAUACCUGAAAAACGUGCAGCACAAAUAUCAUAUCGGUAGCCUCUCAAAUCUUAAGAAAACUACAAAUGGUAGCUUAGAAAAGAAAUGAAUCCUCUCCAACCAAUACAAAUCAUAUUACCCAAGUUCAAGCAAAAUCAAGACUAAACAAAUGACCAGAUGUUGUAGGUUGCCAGAGAAUGUCAAACAUGAAAUUACAAAAGAAAAAAAUAAUCGUAUGUAUUGAACAUUAAUAAAUACAUGCUGAAAGCACAAUCUUAGCCGCAAUUUAUGACAUUUAUACAAGAUUAAAUCGCCAAAGAAAUUAAAGAAAUUGCAGAGCUCAUAUAAGUGAUGUUCACUAUGAACUUUUAGGCUUAUCAACAAAUACACCAUAACGAUUCUAAUGCAUGAAUUUUGUUAAAGGGGGCUUGCUUGCUUGUAUUAAGGCUUAAUCAUCAAUGAUUUUGCAAGGGUCAAUCGUAUUGCUAGUUGUAAAUCUAUUCACUAUGAAAAUUACCAAAAUUACAUCUAAUAUGGUAGUGAAGGAAGUCAUCUUACAUUAUCUGGAAUUUAGAAAACUGUGUAAGGUUAUAAUAUAUGGUUACAAGGACACAAUUAGACCUCAAUCAUAUUCGGUGGUUGGUUUUUGGCCGUGAUCUGCUUCACAUCACCGCCUGCAGGUAAACUAAAUCUGGGUUACUACAUAUCAAUGAAUCAACGUGCCAACUUAACGGACACCAUCUAUCUCUAUAUGGCAAAAAAAACAACACAAAAAGGAACAUGAAGUGAAACAAUAAACAACAUGACAUGAAACAGCACGAACAUCAAAGACCAACAAUCUAUCACGUAAGCACCUAAACAAGAAACAACUUUAGUUCAAAGCAAAGCGUAAUGUAGAAACCUUCGGCACAACAGGUGUGUUUUUGUCCUUUCGAGUUUCGGCAACAACCACUUUAAUAUCCUUUCCUGCAUUUACCAUGAUUGGUCACUCUUAAAACCUUAACUCCGCCGUGUAAGUUUAUCUUACAUUGCCGGUCCCAAGCCCGGAUAAAGGAGGAGGGGGAGGGCGUCAGGUAGUCGACAGCCGGCACUCCAUGAUUACGUCGAAUCCUUACGAAAAUGAAUCCAGAACGAAAUCGCGCUAAAGCUAGGGCGUCACCCGUAAGUGGCGCGCUGUGUGGCCCGAGCACAGUGAUAAGUGAGCAAGGGUCGCUAUAUCUCCAUCGGCACCCGGAUGCAGUGUUAAAUGAGCAAGGGGGCUAUAGAAACUUCUUUUCGAACGACUCCACUCAAAGUUGUUUGGGAGCAUAUGCUCCUAUCAACUUUACACGGGACACACAAAAGAAGUACUUUGAUCCUAUUAGACGGGGAAGGGUGAAGAAGCUAGGACAGAAGGGUAGAGUUCAAGAGAGCAAAAUGCGUUUAGGAACGUGGAAUAUAGGAACCUUGACGGGAAAAUCUAUGGAAGUAGUAGCAGUUAUGGUGAGGAGAAGGAUAAAUAUUAUGUGCCUACAAGAAACUAAGUGGGUUGGGCGUAAGGCAAAGGAUCUAGAAAACUCAGGGUUUAAACUAUGGUAUUCGGGCACAAAUAGAACGAGAAACGGUGUUGGCAUCAUCGUGGACAAGACCUUGACACAAGAUGUUGUAGAUGUUAAGAGGGUAGGAGAUAGAAUCAUGUCAAUCAAGAUUGUAAUAGGACAAGAACUUAUCAAUGUGAUUAGUGCGUACGCACCUCAAGUAGGGUUGGAUACGAGUUCGAAGGAGAAAUUUUGGGAAGACCUUGGAGACUUGGUGCAAGGAAUUGCUCAGACGGAGAAGUUAUUUAUAGGAGGAGAUUUAAAUGGACACGUGGGCAGGGAGACAGACAACUAUGGAGGUUUUUAUGGUGGCCAUGGUUUUGGGGAGAGAAAUGAGGAUGGGGAAGCUAUCUUGAAUUUUGCAAUGGCAUAUGAUCUCUUCUUAGCCAACACCUUCUUUAAGAAGAGAGAAGAACAUGUGAUCACCUACAAGAGUGGGUCGUCAAAAACACAAAUAGAUUUUCUCCUAAUGAGGAAAGGGGAUCGUAUAACUUGUAAGGAUUGCAAAGUUAUACCAGGAGAGAGCGUGGCUAAUCAACAUCGCUUGUUGGUGAUGGAUGUAAAUAUCAAAAGAGUGAGAAAAAAGAACAAGACUUGGAAGUGCCCAAGGACUAGAUGGUGGAAUCUAAAAGAAGAAAAACAAGCCAUUUUCAAAGAGAAAGUAAUCACCCAGUGUGUGUGGGAUAGAGAGGGGGAAGCUAACCAAAUGUGGGAUUCCAUGGCUAGUUGUAUCCGAAAAGUAGCAAAAGAGGUAUUAGGAGAGUCCAAGGGCUUUGCCCCACACCAAAAGGAAUCUUGGUGGUGGAAUGAGGAGGUACAAACAAAGGUGAAGGCUAAGAAGGAAUGUUGUAAAGCCUUAUACAAGGAUAGGACCGAUGAAAAUGGUGAAAGGUAUAGAAAAGCGAAGCAAGAGGCGAAGAAAGCUGUGAGAGAAGCUAAGUUAGCGGCUUAUGACGAUAUGUAUAAGCGACUAGAUACCAAAGAAGGAGAGUUGGAUAUCUAUAAACUAGCUAGAGCAAGGGAAAAGAAAGACAAGGGACCUAAACCAAGUGAGGUGCAUCAAGGAUGAGGAUGGAAAGGUUCUUGCUACAGAGAACGCGGUUAAAGACAGAUGGAAAGGUUAUUUUCAUAAUCUUUUCAAUGAAGGACAUGAAAGGAGUGCUUCUUUAGGGGAGUUGAGUAACUCAGAAGAGUGUAGAAACUACUCUUUUUUAUCGUAGAAUUCGGAAGGAAGAAGUGGUUGUAGCUUUGAAGAAGAUGAAGCAUAGAAAAGCAGUAGACCUAGACGAUAUACCAAUUGAAGUGUGGAAAGUUUUGGGAGAGACAGGUAUAACAUGGCUCACUGACCUUUUCAAUAGGAUUUUGAAAACGAAGAAGAUGCCAAAUGAGUGGCGAACGAGCACUUUGGUGCCUAUCUACAAGAAUAAGGGUGAUGUACAAAAUUGCAUGAACUAUAGGGGUAUUAAGCUAAUGAGUCAUACAAUGAAGCUCUGGGAGAGAGUCAUUGAGCAUAGAUUGAGGCAAGAGACACGGGUUUCGGACAACCAAUUCGGGUUCAUGCCAGGGCGCUCAACCAUGGAGGCAAUCUAUCUCUUACGAAGAUUGAUGGAAAGAUAUAGAGAUGGGAAAAAGGAUUUACACAUGGUCUUUAUAGAUUUGGAAAAAGCGUAUGAUAGGGUCCCAAGAGACAUUCUUUGGAGGAUUUUAGAGAAGAAAGGAGUACGAGUAGCAUAUAUCCAAGCUAUACAGGAUAUGUAUGAAGGAGCAAAGACUGCCGUAAGAACUCAUGAAGGACAAACCGAAAGCUUUCCCAUAACUGUAGGAUUACAUCAAGGCUCAUCCUUAAGUCCUUACCUUUUUGCGUUGGUAAUGGAUGAGUUAACAGGACAUAUUCAAGAUGAUAUUCCUUGGUGUAUGCUUUUCGCAGACGAUAUAGUGUUGAUAGAUGAAACUCAGGAAGGGGUAAAUGCAAAGCUUAACCUUUGGAGAGAAGUGUUGGAAUCUAAAGGUCUUCGCCUAAGCCGAUCAAAGACAGAAUAUAUGGAGUGCAAGUUCAGUGCAAAUGGAGGCCAAAACGAGUUAGGGGUGAGGAUCGGAGAUCAAGAAAUACCAAAGAGCGACCGUUUUCGUUACCUAGGAUCUAUCUUGCAAAAGAACGGAGAAUUAGAUGGAGAUCUCAACCAUAGAAUACAAGCUGGAUGGAUGAAGUGGAAGAGAGUGCAUCCGGCGUAUUGUGUGACCGCCGUAUGCCACUGAAGCUCAAGGGAAAAUUUUAUAGGAACGGCAAUAAGGCCGGCGAUGCUGUAUGGCACAGAAUGUUGGGCGGUGAAGCAUCAACACGUACACAAAAUGGGUGUAGCGGAGAUGAGGAUGCUUCGUUGGAUGUGUGGGCACACGAAGAAAGGAUAAGAUUAUGGAAUGAGGAUAUCCGGGGUAAAGUAGGAGUAGCCGAAAUUGAAGGAAAGAUGAGAGAAAAUCGGUUACGGUGGUUUGGACAUGUGCAAAGAAGGCCUACUGACGCUCCGAUUAGAAGAUGCGACUAUGGGACAGAGGUUCAGGGCCGAAGGGGUAGAGGAAGACCUAGGAAAACUUUGGAAGAGACCCUAAGAAAAGACUUAGAGUACUUGGAUCUAACGGAGGACAUGACACAGGACAGAACACAAUGGCGUUCUAAGAUUCAUAUAGCCGAUCCCACUCAGUGACUUGGAUUUUCCAAGUCUCCAACCGAGAAGUUUUCCUCACUCGGGAAAUUAAGGGAACACUACCUCAACCUACAUGCUCCACUCACAAAGCUUCAACAAAAGAAAAAUUCAAAGAACUUAGCGAAGAAGGCUUUUGGUGUAUUUAACACAAUACGUUGAAAUGAAGGAAAGCUUAUUUAUUGAUAUCCCCGAUAAGUUACAAAUAUGUACAUAUACUUGAGUCAAAAUAAACAAACAAGAGGGAGCCUUCACAAAGGUUGCUUAGGAGAAGUCUCAGCAGUCGGUAGAGCCCCAGAAAGAGAAGGCACCGGAGGGGGAUCAUUCGGAGCCUCAGUACUGGACAGAACCCUAGAAGGAGGAGGCAUCAGAGGUUGAUCAUUUGGAGCUUCAUUACGCGGUACAGCCCCAGAAGACGAAGGCAAUAAAUGCCUUUGGAACAAACCCACAAAUCUCUGAUGAUCAAGUAAAACCUGACCAUCAGAUUCCUUCAUCUGGUCAAGCUUCCUCUUCAUGUUUGUAGCAUAGUCAUGUGCGAGCCGGUGCAACUGUUUAUUCUCAUGCUUGAGCCCUCUAAUCUCCUGUUUGAGACUCAUCACUUCAGCCGCCAAUGAUUCAACUUGGCGGGUUCGAGCAAAUAGGCGUUGGGCCAUAUUAGACACAGAACCUGCACACUGAACACUGAAGAGCCAGAGAAUCCUUAACAGCCAACUCAUCAGACCGUUUGGAAAGUAGUCUGUUAUCUUUGGGAGUGAGAAGGUUCCUAGGCCACUACCGCAGCGGUCAUAUCAUUCUUCAUCACGGAAUCCCCAACGGUAAGAGGACCAGUAGGGGAGACGAAGGAUGGGCGCCAUAUGUUGUCUGAAGAAGGCGGGGCUGCCUCUUCAACAAGGUUCAAGUCAAAACGACGGUCGGAGGGGCCAGACAUUUUCAAAGGUGUUGAAGAGAGAAGAGGUCGGACAAAUCAAGAUCUUAGAAGUGCAAGAAUGGAGCUUCUACUGGUGGAUAUUCAAGUGUGCUUUGGAACUUAAUGUCAGCCCCUAUAAAAAAUCUGCACUCGACGAAGCUUCAGAAAUCGAAGAGGCGCCUGCUCAGAAAUCGAAGAGGCGUUUGCUUUCUCAAAAGCUGGGCUGCUCAGAGACCACGAGGGUUUGAUCUCAGAAAUCGAAGAGGCGUUUGCUUUCUCAAAAGCUGGGCUGCUCAAAGACCACGAAGGCCGAUCUCAGAAAUCGAAGAGGCUUGCUUUCUCAAAAGCUGGGCUGCUCAGAGACCACGAGGGCCGAUCUUAGAAAUCGAAGAGGCACCUACUUUUCCAGCCUUGUCAGCACCUGUCACACGCACACUCAGCUUUGCGGAAAUUAUGGGCAUUCUGUCGAAGAUUUCUGGUGAAGUAGAAAGCACAUGAAUCGUACUGUUCAAUCACCCACUUCCCACACGCAACAGUAGCUCAUGGGUACCACAGAUAACUUUGCCAAAGUUCUCUGACAAAGUUGAGACACGUGAAGCUUGCAGCUCCCACUACAUCGCUCUGACCAAGAAGGGUAAAAGAAUAGCAAAGAAACAACACUAACAAAGUUUAGACACAUAAAUUUUGAAGGUCUAGCUACCAUAUUAUUACCCACAAGGGUAAAGGAACAGUACCACUGCUGGAUAAUUGGAAAGUCCCGGUGUGUCAACCUCUGUGCUUCGUGGCAAGGUAGACUAGCAAACAUGCCCAACCUUUACUCACAUUCGAGAAAACACUCCCAACAAGAUUGCUUGCUCCAAAAUCGAAGAGGCACCCGCUCCUCCGAAUCUCGAGAGCCAGACUCCCAACAUGAUUACUUUCUCAAAAAUCGAAGAGACAUCCGCUCUCCGAAUCUCGAGAGCCAGACCUCCAGCAGGAUUGCUUUCUCAAAAAUCGAAAAGGCAUCGUUCUCCGAAUCUCAAGAGCUGGAUCCCUGACAGGAUUGCUUGUUCGAAAACCAAAGAGGCACCACUUUCCCAACUUCAAGAGCUGGAUCUCCUUGGAUAAAGCUUGUCUGUAAUCUUCACACACGCAACAUCAGCUUUUCCAGAUACCACAGACCCACUUUUUCAAAGUGCUCUGACAGAGUUAAAACUUGUGAAGCUGGCAGCUCCCACUACCGUGCUAUGACCAAGCAGGGUAAAGGAAUAGCAUUAUUACUUGAUGUUAGGGAGACUCCUAUAUAUGUCGACCUCCAUCCCCAACGGACAGGCAGACCUGCAAAAAUGCUCAACCCUUCCUCUUAUCUGAGAGGGCACUCCCAACGAAGCCUUUCGAAAUAUUCAGCUUUCUUUCCCCCCGAUAAUACCUCUGUAAACAAGCUAUACUAGAGCAAGAAUAUCUCAUAUCAUCAGGGUUAAAAGCAAGAGUAUCCCAUAUCAUGCUUUUUUCCCGUCUUUUCCUUUGGCCUUGUUCUUACCUGCAAGACAAGGAGAAAGAGAGCAAUCAGUCAGCACUUGGAAUCAAGCUUCCAGCCAGGAACUGACUGCCUGGAACCCCUUACCUGAUUACUUACCUGGCAUUGCUCUCGAGUACUCAUCUUCAACAUCUUAUGCUUCCAGGGAAGAUACCGCAAUCGCCUGAAGAACAGAUAGGGCAAGUGAGAAGGAUACAAGGAAGCAUGUGGAGACAAGCGUAACAGCACACGUGCCGAUACAUCCACUACUCUGUCAAAAGCAAAAGUAUCUCAUAUCAGCAGGGUCGAACGUACUCUAGAUUUGAUGGACUUGUUUUGACCCUCAAAUUCUUCAGUCGGCCUUAUACUCUGGAGGAAACCAGAAAACCCUCCAGCCCAGUUCAAGAAUAAGCCUGUGGAAAGUUACUUCUUCAAAAGCAAAAAGUAUCCCAUAUCAUCUCUUCUCAUUUUUCUUCUCUUUAUCCUUCAUGCUGCAUGCAAGAUAGGGAGAAUGUGAACAAUCAGCCGGAGCUCUGAUUGCUUACCUUGUCUGUCAUCUCUUUCAGCAGAUCCCCUAGCUCGGCGACUUAGGGGACUCCUACUACAUGGUUUGUAUCGCGCUUGACCAAGCCUGAAACUACAAGUAAGCUUCAAGUGACAAUUGAUACAUUACCUUGUGCAUCUCCACCAGUUACAGAUACCACCCCUGGAUGGAGGAAGAGUACUUCCAGAGAAGAUGCCACAUCUACCUAUGAGACAGAUAAGGAAAGUCAAGACGAUACCACACUCCGGUACUUAGAAGUUUCGUGGUUACGAGAUCAUUCUCCCACAAUAUUUCCUAAUGUCAUUUGUACUAAAUCAUUCACUUGUACUCACUAAAGGAGAGCUUGAACCUAUGUACUUGUGUAAACCCUUCACAAUUAAUGAGAACUCCUCUAUUCCGUGGACGUAGCCAAUCUGGGUGAACCACGUACAUCUUGUGUUUGCUUUCCUAUCUCUAUCCAUUUAUAUACUUAUCCACACUAAUGACCGGAGCAAUCUAGCGAAGAUCACAAAAAGUGACCGUUUUCGCUACCUAGGAUCUAUCCUUGCAAGAGAACGGAGAAUUAGAUGGAGAUCUCAACCAUAGAAUACAAGCUGGAUGGAUGAAGUGUAAGAGUGCAUCCGGCGUGUUGUGUGACCGUCGUAGGCCACUGAAGCUCAAGGGAAAAUUUUAUUUUAUAGGACGGCAAUAAGGCCAGCGAUGUUGUAUGGCACAGAAUGUUGGGCGGUGAAGCAUCAACACGUACACAAAAUGGGUGUAGCGGAGAUAAGGAUGCUUCGUGGGAUGUAUGGGCACACGAGAAAGGAUAAGAUUGGGAAUGAGGAUAUCCGAGGUAAAGUAGGAGUAGCCAAAAUUGAAGGAAAUAUGAGAGAAAAUCGGUUCCAGUGGUUUGGACAUGUGCAAAGAAGGCCUACUGACGCUCCGGUUCGAAAAUGUGACUACGGGACAGAGGUUCAGGGCCGAAGGGGUAGAGGAAGACCUAGGAAAACUUUGGAAGAGACCCUAAGAAAAGACUUGAGUACUUGGAUCUAACGGAGGACAUGACACAAAACCGAGCGCAAUGGCGUUCUAGGAUUCAUAUAGCCGACCCCACUUAGUGGGAAAAGGCUUUGUUGUUGUUGUUGUUGUUGUGGUCACUCUUAAAACCUUACCUAAGAGACCCAAAAACAAAAAUAACCGCCGAAAGAGCUAAACAUACAUAUAUAGAAAAACUUAAUUAACUGCAUGCUAAAAUGGAAGUGUAAAAUUGCCAAGAAAGAUAAGAAACUAUUUAAAUACGAAUUCUGGGCAUUACCGCCACAAAAGGCAUGAGCCGAACAGCUAUCAACAAGAACACACUUCCCAUUCAUCCAGAUAGCCCUUGUAUUUCACAUCCAUAUCUGCAUUUUCCAACAAUUCCCACUUAAACAGAAACACAAAAUUCAUCGAAAAAAUGCUAACUUCUUCGAAAUUUGAAUCCAACGUUUCGUCUUAUAACAAAUGCAAUAACAUAGAUUUGUAAUCAAUUCGAUGCCAUAAAGUUCAAGCUCAAAAUUUCAAAUCAGCUCCAAAUCAAAAGCAUUUACAGAUACAUACAUAUAUACAUAUGCGUGUGUGUGUUUAUCUACAUACCCAGGUUCAUGGCGUUGAGAGCUCGGCAGGCGACGGAGGGUGAUGACGGCGACGCCAAUUGGGUGGACGCUGCCCUUCGAAUUGGGUCGCUCCUCGCAAUAAGCUUCCCAUUACUUCCGUUUGAGAGUGACUGUCAGUGUAGAGAGAGGGAUUUUUUUUUUGUGCUUCUGGACCGGACUACACUUGAUGUUUCGGUUAUAUUACCGGGAAAAAGAACUGCCGCGGUGGCUACGCAGGGAAACUUGAAAUUUGAAAGAAGUAUGAAGUAUGGACUUGCCUUCAUUUAUUGAACUGAGAAAUCGAAAUCUGAAAGAGGCGUUUGACGAAGUGAUUGUGAUCUGACUCAAACAUGUGAUGAUGACGAUGCAUCACCACCUUGGUUGUGCCUCUGGAUCAAAAACAUACCAUCACCAUCAAAAUCGUGCAUAUUUUCCUUCAUAGGUUUGUCCCAUACUAGAUUAACCCCUAUUCCCUUAAUUAUUGCAUAAUAAGAAUUAUAGCAUGUCUCUGGCAUUCCAACGGCUAUAUCAACUUUAUCCCCGCUUUGCAAAUUGAACUUAUCGUUGGACAUUUGUCCCUGCCAAAGAAAACAUUUUUCAGGUAAACCAUCGUGCAUUUUUAUAACCCAAUCUUCCUUGCCUAUGCAGGUUUGCAACUCAGUACGCUUGGUAUUAUUUAUAUCAAUACUGCCACGAGGAUGACAAUAUUUAAAGCUCAUAGAAGGGCUUGAGGGACAAGUUAAGUGAUAAAAGCAUAACAGAGUCAACCCUUCAAAAUUACGACCAUCACUUGGGGGGUAUCAAAACUGACUUUAUCACCAUCGUUGACAAACUCGAACCAAUCAGGAACAUAAUUCGCAUCGAGAAAAAUGCCAGCAUAUCCGUAAGAAGUCCAUCCCUAUAUAUACAGUGCAAGUGUCAUAUACAUACAUACAUACAUACAUACAUACAUAUAUGUAAAUGUGCAUUGUGUGUGCAUGUGCGCAAUAGGAAGACAAUUAAAGAGAGAGAUACCUUUAGGACCUUCCUCCUAAAAUCAGCUGUGAGAUUGGUGCACUUUUGCAUUACAAUCCAUUUCAUGGAGUUUAAUGACUUAUCCAAGUCCGGAAUCUCUGUGAGUGCGUGUGAACCAGUUACAUUCAGUUCUCUCAUAUUUGACAUUUUCGAAAAAUUGGGCAUUUUUACCAAACAACAGCAACCAUAAGCAUCCAGAAAUUUCAAAUUUGUUGGUAAAUCAUAGAUUGUAUGAAGCUGGGAACAAUAACUUAACCACAUACCUUCAAGCUUUGAAAGACCAUUGAGGCUGGGUAGGGUGUGUAAGAUACUGCAGUGACUUAACUCCAGAGUUUUAAGAUUUGAAAGACCAUUGAGGCUGGGUAGGGUGUGUAAGUUACUGCUGUGACUUAAUUCCAGAGUUUCAAGAUUUGAAAGACCAUUGAGGCAGGGAAGGGUGUGUAAGUUACCACAGUGAUUUAACCACAUAGUUUUAAGAUUUGAAAGACCAUUGAGGCUGGGUAGGGUGUGUAAGUUACUGCAGUGACUUAACCACAGAGUUUUAAGAUUUGAAAGAUCAUUGAGGCUGGGUAGGAUGUGUAAGUUACUGCAGUGACUUAACCCUAGAGUUUUAAGAUUUGAAAGACCAUUGAGGCUGGGUAGGAUGUGUAAGUUACUGCAGUGACUUAACUCCAGGGUUUUAAGAUUUGAAAGACCAUUGAGGCUAGGUAGGGUGUGUAAGUUACUGCAGUGACUUAACCAUAGAGUUUUAAGAUUUGAAAGACAAUUAAGGCUGGGUAGGGUGUGUAAGUUACUGCAUUGACUUAACCCCAGAGUUUUAAGAUUUGAAAGACCAUUGAGGCUGGGUAGGGUGUGUAAGUUACUGCAGUGACUUAACUCCAUACCUUCAAGCUUUGAAAGACCAUUGAGGCUGGGUAGGGUGUGUAAGUUACUGCAGUGACUUAACUCCAGAGUUUCAAGAUUUGAAAGACCAUUAAGGCUGGGUAGGGUGUGUAAGUUACUGCAGUGACUUAACUCCAGGGUUUUAAGCUUUGAAAGACCAUUGAGGCUGGGUAAGGUGUGUAAGUUACUGCAGUGACUUAACCACAGAGUUUUAAGAUUUGAAAGACCAUUGAGGCUGGGUAGGGUGUGUAAGUUACUGCAUUGACUUAACCCCAGAAUUUUAAGAUUUGAAAGACCAUUGAGGCUGGGUAGGAUGUGUAAGUUACUGCAGUGACUUAACUCCAAAGUUUUAAGCUUUGAAAGACCAUUGAGGCUGGGUAGGGUGUGUAAGUUACUGCAGUGACUUAACUCCAGAGUUUUAAGCUUUGAAAGACCAUUGAGGCUGGGUAGGGAGUGUAAGUUACUGCAGCGACUUAACCCCAGAGUUUUAAGCUUUGAAAGACCAUUGAGGCUGGGUAGGGUGUGUAAGUUACUGCAAUGACUUAACCCCAGAGUUUUAAGAUUUGAAAGACCAUUGAGGCUGGGUAAGGUGUAUAAGUUACUGCAGUGAUUUAACUCCAGAGUUUUAAGUUGUGAAAGACCACUCAGGCCGGGUAGGGUAUGAAGGUUACAGCAGUUACUUAACUGCAAAUUUUCAAGUUUUGAAAGACCACAUAGGCUGGGUAGGGUAUGAAAAUAAUGUUUUGAGAGAUCUAAAUUUCCGUCUAACGAAUUGGGAAACUGCAAAGUAAACUUCGAUUCCACAGACGCUAGAGAUAAAUGAGUGAGAUUCUUCAAUCUUACUAUGGAACAGGGUACUUGUCUUAUGGCUGUGGAAGAUGCUAUAAGUACUCUCAAUGAUGUCAUCUUCCCUAAAUCCUCGGGCAGUUCACUGAAUUGCUGACAUCCAUUAAGAACAAGAGUCUGAACGGAUUUGGACUUGUAGAAAUCCCCAGGAAGAGAAAUAAGAUUCUGGCAGCCUGUGAGGUUCACCAAAGAAAGUUUUUUAAGAUGACAAAUGGAGGGGUGAAUCUCGGACAAACUGUUACACCAUUCCAAUAUCAACUCUUCAAGAUUUAGGAGAUUUGAAAAGUCUGGUGAUUUUUUUAAGUCAAGGCAAUAACUGAGAUUAAGGAUUUUCAAGUUUCCAAGCGACUGUUGCACAAAAUCAAAGGAAAAUUAAAAUUAAUAUCCAAAAACAAAUGGAAACAUAACAUCAUCAUGUGUAAUCGAUUGUACCUUGGAGCCCUCCCAAACUUGUACAAGUCUGCUAUACGCUAUCUCUAAAAUAACCAGUGCUCUUGGUUGAUCAAAGAAGUGAUCUGGUAUGGACUUUAAAGGGCAUCCAAACCAACGCAACCAUAUUAACUCUUUGGAAAGAUGUUUGUAUUCUCCAUUGAGCUGCACGUUGUAGAGCUGCAGCAGUCUCAGUUUCUUCAUAUUGGCAAAUGCUUCUGUACUGAAGCUUCGAAGCCUUUGCAGCCAAUGAUCUCCAGAAAAAUUAAGAGCAAGUCCUUUAACUUCUUCAGUUCCCUGUUAACAAAAGGUUAUAUUCAUGUGUAAGAAACGGAAUAUUUGCAUAUGUUUACAUGUAUGAAUACAUGCAAGUACUAUUGUUGGCUAAUUGAGAUGAUGUUACUUAAUGUAUAAUACACAUCCGUGAGUUAUAUGUGCUUUUCAUGUACGAUGCAUCAAUUCAGAAUUUUAUUGGGACUAUACUUACAAAUUUAUCUCUCAAUACAUCAAUGACCUCUUGCUGGUUCCACAACCUACUCCAUUCUCCAGGGUGACGAGGGGAUUUUUCAGAAAUGAUUAAUUUGGCCAUUUCUUGAAGCAAAUCAUGCAUAUUCAACUUCUUGUGUUCAAUAGUGAUAAGGCAUCGUUCACAGAGGACAUUGAUUCCUAUUGUUGCAAAAAACUUACAUCCAUCUAAUAUUUUUGCGACAUAGUCCUUAUCCCAUCCAAUAAAGAAACAAGAUAUGUCAAGGAAUAUAUCCUUUUGUGUAGGAUCUAGCCUUUCAAAGCUUACUCUUAGUGGUUUCAUUAUUCCUUCAUCAGGAAAUUUUUUCAAUUUCUCCAACUGACUUUUCUACUCUGUUGGUGUUCUUUCAAUCAUAAAAGAAGAACCUAAAACUGCAAGGGCUAGUGGCAAACCACCACAGUAAGAAACAACCUCUUUUGAGAGUUCAAGAUAUCCUUCAUUAGGCCAACUCUUUCCAAAGGCAUGCCAACUAAAGAGCUUCAGAGCUUCUUCUUCAUUCAUUUCCUUAAGUGAAUAUGUCUUGUCCACUUUCAUGUUCACUUGCUUUAGAAAACGUUCAUCUCGUGUCGUUAUGAUAAUUCUACUUCCUGGGCCAAACCAAUCACGAUUUCCAGCUAUUGCAUCUAGUUGUUCCACUUUGUCUACAUUGUCAAUAAUGACAAGCACGCUUCUACGUUGGAGAUGAUUUUUUAUCAGACUGAUACCUCUAUCAACACUGGUUAUCUUAGACUCGGUAUGUUUCAAGAUGUCAGAAACAAGUCUUCCUUGCAAAUCAACCAGAUCACAUUCACUAACGUUGGCAAGGAAACUUUUGAAUUGGAACUUAUGAUGAAGUUGGUUAUAAAUGGCUUUGGCAGCUGUUGUUUUACCCAAUCCACCAAUCCCCCAAAUUCCAACCAUGCGAACAACAUAUGAUCCACCAUUUGAAAGAUAAGUGAUGAUAUCUUGAAUGCGAGUAUAUAUUCCAACUGGGUGCUUGGCCAAAUGUAAAUUUUCUGCGCUCGGAAGCCAUUUUGGGAUAAUCUUGUCAACAAUUUCUCUAAUAAGCUUUGCUUCGCGCCUGAAAAAUUGAAUUGGUAAGCUUAGUAAGUAGGCUCAGUAGGAGCUAUUAGUACUAAUAUAAACAAUUUUCUUUCCUUCUUUCCUUCGUGUGUGUGUGUGUGUGUGUACAUAUAUGUACACAAACUAGCUACUAGCUAGUACGUGAUUUUGUGACCAACUUCAAUAAAAGAAACAAGUUCAUUCAUUGAUAUAUUAAAGUUUGGUGCAUCAAUUAAACUCCAAUUAUGGUUUAGAUUUUAGAGGAAAUUAGAGAAAUGGUCCUUGAACUAUGAUCAAAUUGUGGCCUUGGUUCUUAAAACUAAAAAUUCAAUAAAUCUCCUCCCUGAACUUAACAAAAUAUGAAGCAUUGGUCCCUAAAUGUUAACACCGUAUGAUUUUCUGUUAAUUUGAUUAUGUCGUCUUUGUGGGCUCCAUAUUAUUGUUUACUAGAUGGCACGUGGCUUGAAAAGUCAAAAUAAAAGAAAAUAAAUACAAACAUAGAGAAAGAAAGAGAGAGAAAAAAAAACUUUAAAUUAUAAAAGUUAACUCUCUCUCCCAUCCUCCCUUCCGCCUCACCUCCUCCAAACCCCAACCACACCAUUGUAGCACUUUCCCAACAGCCAAAACAAAAGAAAGUUUCUAAUCCAAUUUUGGAACACGUCUCCGUUUGCAAACGAAUUCACAAUGACAUCCAUUCACGCUGUCUCGACAGGUAAGAUUCAAGAAAUUUGUGGGAUGCGGGUUCGGGGUUCGGGUGAAGGCUGUGGUCCGUGGGCUACAGUUUGGAGUCGGCUGGAGAGUGGGAUUAGGGAUUGGGGGUUGGAAGUGGGAGGUUGACGGGGUGUGAAUCAAAGAUUGAAGGUGAAGGGGUGGCUGCGAGUGUUGGUGGGAUGAGGUAGGUGAAACUAACAUGUAAAGUUGUAAACCCUUUUAACUAAAAUUUAAAGGAAUUGGUUACGAAGGACUAACGCUCCAUAUUUUAUCAAGUUCAAGGGCAAAAUGUAAUGAAUUUUUAGUUUAGGAACCACAGCUACAAUUUUCCUCUAGAUUUUAUAUGAGAGAUUAAGGCGUAUUAAUUAAGCAUGAUAAUUAGAGUAAUACAACUUAAAUACUGAAAGCACAUGAAUGAUUACCUAUUAUCAGUGAUUUGAAGAUGGUAGCCAGACAAAUUUGCAGCUUUUGUAAGAACCUCUCCCCACUGCUUUACCUCUUCUUGUUUAGCUUCACGUUUCUUGUCAUCCUUUUCUUCACCGACGCCUUCUUCGUGCUUUUGAAAUUCUUCGGCUGACUUUGCAGCUUCUGUAAGAGCCUUUAUCCACUGCUCUACCCUUUCUCGUUUUUCUUCACGUUUCUUGUCAUCUUUUUCUUCACUGAUGUCAUUUUUGUGCUUCUGAAAUGCUUGGGCUAAAACUCCGUUCUGCUUCCUGACAUGUGAAGGAUCAAUGUGAUAGAAUAUUGGCAAAACAUGUCGCCCCAGUUUGUCUCUGCACUCCAUGAUCUUCACCAGCUCGUUAAGACACCAACUCGAAUCCGCAUACCUCUCUGAGAAGACAAUGAUAGAGGUCUUCGAUUCUUCGAUUGCCUGGAGCAGUUCUUUUGGUAUUUCUUCCCCUCUUUUGAGAUCGUCCUCAUCAAUAUAAGCCUGGUAUCCCCUGUCUGUUAAUGCCGCGUGGAGGUGGCCCGUGAAGCCAUUGCGUGUGUCUACACCGCUAAAGCUCAAGAACACGUCGUAAUUCCAAAGUUUUGACUUGGAGGAGGAUGAAGAGGAGGCUUCGUGGGUUGUCAUGGCGGUAUCCACCGUUAUGGCACUGCAGUGGUUCAGAUCACGACUGAAGAAUGGUAGUAGUUGUGUUCGUGCAUUCAAACGGAUGAUCCUGAAAUACCUAAACGCAAGUCAAGCUCCUUCAGUCAACAAGAACAAAGUUUAUAAUAUAAUAAUUUUGGCGUAUGGACUUGAGAAACGACAUAGUGUUGGCCGGAAGGUGCAGAAAAAGAGAGAGGAAAAAAGAAAAGAAAGGAACGAAAGGACAAAGACCAUCCAAAAGAUUCUUGGCUGUGAUUACAGCUAUUCAUAGGAGAAACAACGGACAUAUUUUCAUAGGAGAAACAACCUUCCCAUCUUCAUAUAUAAUGCAUUUCAACGGACAUAUUUUAAUAGGAGAAACAACUUUAGUUUGUACUAGAAAUUUUUACCCGCACGUUGAUGCGGCAUUUGAAAUUGUAUGAAAGAUUAUCUUUGAAAUAUAUAAUAGAUUGUGUGAUUGAAGAUUAAUACUAUUUACAUUGAAAACGUUGGAAAAAGUUUUACAUAUAAAAGAUUUUAUGAUACAAUCCACGUAUAAAAGAUGGUAAAUUUUGUUCUAUCUACAUGCAUUAUGUUAUGGAAUGAUAUAUAUAUAUAUAUAACUAAGUUCCAGAAUAUGUAAACUUCAUAACUUGGAAAUUUUUUGACAAAUUAAUCAGAUUCAACUGUGGGUUAGCAAGGUCGCCUAUAAAGUUUGAAGUCGUAGAAGCAUAAAGGACAAAUAACAAAUGAGUUUUGAGAAAUUAUUCCACAAAUGUCAUUCUGCAAAAUGUAUUAAAGACGAUUGGUAUAAGAUUAGCAAUCAUGAGUAGUGUAACAACAUCAACAAAAUAACCAUAAACCAUAACAUAAUUCAAAUUUUGUUUGCAAAAACAAAAGAAAAAGAAAAGAGACUUACAAUAAUUCAACCUUCAAUCUUGAAGUCCAGCUCAAAGAGCCAAACCUAAAUGCAAGCUUUCUGAAAUUUCCCAAACAAUACAGAUAAAACGGUAACACCCUAGUCAGAAAUGAACCAAGGUGCGAGCUUUCUAAGAAACCCAGAUGACAAAAUCAACAAAAUAGAAUGGAAAAAUGACUUACACUUUGAAGGCAUGCUCGAACCUUGAUCUAAAAUUGGUGGUGGGUCGAUUGUUGGUCACCAACUCUAAAUGAAGAAUUCAUCAGAACCUAGAAAUUUAAAACAAAGAAUUUUCCAAAAUCAACAUUUACUAAAAACCAGUUGCUUGGUUAUCAUGCAUGAUGGCUUGACAAAGACUGAAUUAAGGAAUGCAAACUUUACUUUCAUGAUUAUUUUUAAUGACAGCUAAAAGGUCAGAUCCAAAUGAAAAUAAAAGUUAGGACUUCACAAAACCAAUUAAAAAUCUAAUUCUAAAGUUAUAAGCACCCACAAAAUGAUUCCAGAUAAAGUUUUACACUCAAGGUCAAACCCAAAUGAAAUUAAAAGUUAGGACUUCACAAAACCAAUUGAAAAUCUGAUUCCAAAGUUCCAAACACCCACCAAAUGAUUCCAGAUAAAGUUUAAACUCAAAAACCCAAUAGAAACAAAAGCACUGGUAUAAAUUAACUGUAUCUAAUUGAAGAAACUAAAACAAAAGUAAAGCAAAGUAUAUACCUCAAAAUGUCAAGCAACUAAGUUCUUCCUCCGACGACCCAAAACUCUGAAAAUUCCACACAAAAAAAAAGGCAAAUCCAUUAGCAAUUCAUAGCUUUCAAAAUUAGCAAAAACUUGGGCAACAAUAAAGAUGUGUCUAGAACCAUCAAUCUUUCUCCUUAUGCAUUUGAAAAGAUAUGUUAUAAGCAGUUUAUGUAGUCAUUCUGAACAUGUUGCAUAUAAAUUCCUUUUCUACAGGGUUCAAAAAAAUAUGGCAGUUUAUGGAAUCUGUUGAAUGACAUAGUUGAAAGAUUUAAAAUUGAUACAUUCAAUUUUUAUGUGUAAAACUAUAACAUAUAGCUAAAGCUAUUGGGUCCAUAUCAGUCAUGUCGUAAUUGAAUGUUUAUCGAUGUAAAUAGAUGAUUUCAGUCAUGGGAUAACAUGUUUCUUGAUAGUAUACGCUGAAGUUUGGUCUAAGUUGGAUAUAAAUCGACCAAAAUCUUAAUAAGAGACUUUUUUAACUUUUAACCAAAAAAUGAGCACCACAAUACUACACUUAUAAGUUUUAUCAUGCACAAAAUACACAGCACUGAUUGCCACUUUUAGAGCAAGAACAAUACUUUACCAAAAGAAAACAACAAAACACCCAAAACCCAGAAACAUAAACACACUUAGGACUCAAACUCCUCAAAAACAUGAGAAAGAGAGAGAGUGUGUGAGGAGAAAGAAUAAAAAAAAAAAUUAUUUUUCACACAAACUCAAAAUUGCUUAUAAAAUUACAAAUGAAUGCAAAUCCAAAAUUGCCCUAAAUUAAAUCUGAUUAGUUAAAUGUUUGUUGCCCCAGAAAUUUCGUUACACCUCACAAAACUUGCUUUGAAGUUGAUAUUUUGGUCAAUCCAGGGGAAAAGGAGUUAUUGGUUUUGGAGCAGUUGUCAUGGAGAAUACCAUCUCCCUGUAGAAUGAUCUAAAAAAGGACUUACAGCUUAUGGUGGCCAUAAUAAUUUAGGAGGCCCUUCUCUCCAAAUUUUCUCAAUAACUUUCCUUUUCGUAGCUGGUAAGAUUGCAACUCCGAGAAUUGCUUUGAAGAGAUAUACACAAACAAAAUACCAAAACUAAGCUAUUGGAAGAAAUUUAGAAAACACAAGCACCAUUACAACUCAGAGUUAAAAGUCAACAGAAACCAAAUGGUACAAGUUGAAAAAAUAUAUGGUCAUGAAUCGAGAACUUCAUCAAACUAACAGCAAUAAAAUCUCAUAUAAUCCGUCAAAAACCAAAAAAGAGAUUCAAGACCUUGUAACGUCGAGGCCUCGUACAGUUGUAGUAAUAAUUUAUGGUUGAUGCACCUGUUGCUCAAUCAAAUCCUUCGUCUGGCUAAAAAAAUAAAAAUCUAUAAAUACAUUCACGUCCAAUUUAUGAGAAAUCAUGGGAAAGAAAAUGUGAAUAUGAAGAACUUAACAAAAAGAAAAAGAAAACUUCUUAUAGUGUGCUAAGAACAUCCUCCUACUCCUAGCAAAUUUUUUAUGGCAUUAUCCACUUCUCAAUUCAUAAUUCAACCAGUAACUCAAAGUCUAUAGUGUAUGAAAAAGUGAUAUCUUAGUUGAUCACGAUGAUAAUCAAAAAGGAAGAAACAACCAAACAAAAUUAUUAGGUCUGGGAUAUACCUUUAUCUGAAACACCACAAUCAUCAAAGUGAAACACAAACAAUCCAAAAAUUUGUGGAAAAUACCAAUAAAUGCUCAACUAAAAACGAAAGAAAAAGUAGAAUAAGUUUACCUGUUCCUCCCCUAAUUAAACUGCAAUACAAUUCACCACUGAUAUUCUCGUCAUCCUCUUCAGCCUGAAAAAUUUAGUAGAAAAUAAUGGUAAGAAUCUAGCAGUAUUUCCAUUGUUCAAAACCCAAAUUCCAGAAAUCAUGAAAAAUGGAAACUUUAUAUGGAAAUUGAACCCCCAAAAUCACAAAAAGGAAAAUUGAACAGAAAAUAAAUUUGCAAAUCCAAAAUCACAAAAACGAAAUUGAAACACCCACACUGAGAAAGCUGUAAAACUCACAAGGAAACGCUAGCUUUUCUGGGUAAAAAAAAUUGUUCGAAUCGAAUUGAAGAACCGAGGAAAAUUCUACAGGUUCAGUGGUUUUUCCAGCAAGAAAGCACCUUGUUUGUAAGUCGUGAGAGGUUGGAGAGCGAGAGAAGCCGAUUUGGGAACCAAAGAAAGCGAGGUUGGAGACCGAAAGAGGCUGCGAAUUGCGAGAGAGAAAAACGAAAAGGAAAGGAAAAGCGGAGAAGAAGUCACGAUUAUCGACGCGUGGGUAGGAUUCCACUGUGAGAGGAUUGCAUUCUUUUAAGAGUGUUUCCUUAUUACAAUUUUAUGCUACUAGAUCCAUCCUAUUGUUCCAUUUCUAAACUUUAUAUUAUAAUAUCACCCAUCGUAAAAAAUUAAAAUCCUAUUAAUCCACCCCAAUUAUUUCUAAAAUAACCUCAAAUAUCUAAAUCCAUUUUUAUUUCACCCCAAUUGCAUGAUCAGGCCUCGAUUUGAAGCUAGUUGACGUUGGCCCAAAUGCCAAAUUGUUUGAAUUUCCAAUAAACAUAUUAUAAUUAUAAAAGGAUGGUGAAGAUAUGAAUCAAAUUUGAAAGAGAGAACAUUACUUGGUGAAGGAGGUGAUAGGUGAUGUUGGUAUGGGUUAUGCAGUCACCAUUGGACAUGAGAGGCUUUCUCCUCAAAAUUCCUUCUACAUCUACAGCAUGCAAAUCGAAUGAUGAUAGGUUUAUCGAAGCCCUAAUACCAACUUUAUGACAAAUCUGAACGGACCAAUAAACAACCAUGGAACGAUCUUGAGACGCGACCACUGCGCGUGAGACUCAACCAGGAAUAACUAGACCAUCAGCCGCCGUCGUCAAUAUUGUAGAGGUAGAUGGUGGGUCCGAGAACUCGAUUUUCUUGGAGCAGUUUGAGAUUGACGAAGGGACCUGACGAGGGGUUGGGGUUGUUGGUGACCGAGAGUAUAUGGGUUUGACGAUGGUGGUGGUGGUGGUGGUGGUUUGCAAUCUCUCUCUUUCCUUUUCUUGGGGUUGGACAUUCGGGUGACAGCCGCCUUGGGAUCGGAUGUCAAUGGGGACGUGCUUGAGAGCCAUGAUGACGACGCGAGCGUGGGUGGGGAGAAUUUUCCAGGUCCUUUGAUGUAAUUUUACAAAAGGGUAAAAAUGGAAGUAAAAAAAUUAUAAACUAGUGGGGUGGGAAGAUAAGACAACGGGGUUGUUGUGGUCUAUUUUUAUCUGAUAAAGCAAUAGGGCCGGCGGCAGGGGGAGAGAGAAAAGAGAGAUGUGUGUUUGUAGAAUUGUAGGGGAAUGUGUGUUGUUAUCUCUCAUACAUUGUGCCUUUAUUUAUAGUAGUAAAAGGAGAGAAGAUAUUCCUUCUUCUCCAAGUAAUAUAAGUUGUAAUAGGAAAGAAUAACUAGAAUCAAAUCUAAUAUAGGAUUUACACAAUUUACAAGUUGUUAUCCCUCCUACAUUGUGCCUUCUUCUUCAUAAGAGUUUGAAAGAAGUAUGAAAUAUUGACUUGUUGAUGAUGAAGUUGAUAGUGAAAUGUAGUAACGGUUAAUUUAACAGAAUUUUUAACGGAUGUAUGAAAUUAAAAAAUAAUAUAAGUAAAUGUAUGAAAUUAAAAUGUUUUAAAGAAAUUGUAUGAAGUUGCAAUUGACCCCAAAUACGAGAGAUAAAACAUAAUUUACACAAAAAACAAAGAUCAGAUUUGUAAAAAUGCACCACAUAGUAGUUAAAACAUCCGGACGUAAAUGAAUGGUUUGAGAUACCAUCAUAGUAGCAUCUUUCAGUGUAAGUUUUUCUCAUAUCGGAUCACUUACCAGUAGAAAAGUGUAAUACCGUGUCGGGAAAGGAAGUCAAUGAUGAAAAGAGAGCAAUUUAGCUUUAAAAAUAAGGAAAACUAAUGAAAAGAGUUUGAAAACUUUGCGUUUAAUGAUAAGGACAAAAUAAAAGGAUAAAGUGAAUAGUACUAUGAUUGAUUUUUUAGUGUAAAAAUAUGGUUUUUCGUUAAAGUUUCCUUAAAAAUAUUGCGUCCUCCGUAUGAUGUUUGCAACAUGUGUCGCCAGAGUAUCAACUUGAAGCUCUCCACAUCUCCGUCGUCAAAUGUUUUGUAAGCAGCAUUGUUUAAGUUCUCUCUGUCAGGGAAACUGCAGAUGGGUUUGAUGAAGAAGAAUGGAAAAUAUAAUUUUUAGAAAAUGAGAAAGAAAAUUAUAAAACUUCAUUAAUGAAAUUUCUUUAUCAACAAAAAAAGAUGAAAAUAUAUCUUUGUCUUCUAUCACAACAAAAAAGUUAAGGACAGUAACGUAAUUUUACAAGAUAAAAUUUUACUUUUUUUUUAAAUCUCACAUAUAUGUAAGUUUAUCAUCUUUAAUUUAAAAAAUAUAAAAAAACCUCUCUUCCACGUUCUCUCUCACUCUCUUCCUCUCCUUCAAAUUUAACAACCAAAGUAAAAAAAUUCAUACGCUUUGUGUGUGGACAUAUACUAGUUGAAAUUUAAAAAAGGAGACUUAAAAAGAGAGAUUUAAUAUUUUCUAGGUUGUCUUGGGAGUUGGCAAUGACAGUAAGAGAGGAGAAUCUCGGGUUCCACUGGAAAGGAGGAAAUUUUUCAAAGCGAGAAGGUAGGGGUUUUUUCACUUGCUCUCUUGGUCUUUGGGCUUUUGGAUUGGAUUGGGACAAUUCCAAUUACCCCAUCCCAACUUACGACUUUUUAUCGGUCUAUAUUGGCUAAAGUGAACGUACUAAAAUAGAAAUUUGAGAACUUGAAUUAAGGUCUUGAAUUAGCGAAUGAAUGUCCAGUAAGAAUGUCAUGUAGUCGGACUUGUAAGGCUACCCUUAAUAAGUAGUCACGUUUGUCAAAACUGGUCUAUCUGAUUAUAAUUGUAACCAUAUUAUGUGUGACACAUGAUCAAACUUGAAGGGUUGUCCAAUAAGAAGUUGUCAUGUUGUCAAGCGUAGGGCCAAAGGUGAGCACUUUCCUACCAAAGUGUUUUCUUUUUCCCCUUUUCAAGGGAUUUGUGUCACCAUUAGAUAGGAGAUUCAAACACAAGACCUUGAAUUUAGAGGCAAACGCUUUAAAAAAGCUUCUCUGAUUCAUCUCCUCUGACUUUGACGGGUUCCACUUCGGAUUCUGCAUUGACAGGAAACCGAAGCCAAAGAUAAAGAUCCGUUCUGAUAUACAGAAAGUAAGAUGAUUAUCAACUGUAGGUCUAGUAGAGGCUGUAAUUGUUCUGUCACUUUAUAGUAAGGAAUCUUGAGCAUAAUUAACGAACCUGAUCCUUGUCCACCAAAACUGCCGUACACCUUCAGCAAAAUCAUUCCGCAAAUACAAUCUUAUAGCAAUGCGAUAUUCAGUUUCAUCACACCAGUUAGUAUUGGUCAAGUAAAGCACAUGUUACUUUCUGAAAAUUUGAAAUACUACAACGCAAAACCUAUCAAAAAGAUGCAACCAUGUGAUGCAAGAAACGAAAAGGUAGAAAGUCCAGACUCACUGUGGAUAAUUGAUUGUCAUUUUUCCCAAGCGCAGAUGCAAUUUUAGCGAAUUAAUUUUGUCCCAAAGAAAGUGAGAACGGAGCUCCCUUUCCAAGACAUUAAAGAGCUUCAUUAGCCCACUCACCACUGCAAUAGAAACAAUUUGAUACAAAAUACUUGACAGCAACCAUACAAGCCGCUCAAUAGACAAAUGACAUUGACAAACAUACCAGUAGCAUCUGAACCUGCUGCUGCUUUUUAAGUUCAUCAAUUGUCUCAAGAACCGACUUAUUUGCACCAAACGCUGAAGUUAUUUGAUGUAAAAGACUUGAGUUGCGCUUCAGAAUCUGGGUUGCUGGUGAAUUUCGCCGCAGUUGUUUCAAUGUCCCCAUGGGGAUCCUAAGAACCGUAUCAACAAUGGAGUAUCUUUUAUCUCAAGAACGCAUUGGACAAUGGAGCAUCAGAAAUUGCGUCUGAGGAUAGAAAAGGCAUACCUGCAGAUCCUCCUCCCGUACUCCUUGCCGCUACAUGUGAAAACCCAUCUGGCAUAGCAAGAACAGUCCUCUGAAAUGUAUCCAUACAAAGUUAGACGCACAAAAUUUGAAAAGCCAUUGCAAUGUAAUUGACAACAUUGACAAUCUCUGUCUGACAGGGCAAAAUACCUUUGUAAUGAUCCGGUAGUGACCGUGACCUGAUAGGUCAACACCAAAGACCAUUGUUAUGCGAUCAAUGAAGCUUAUAAAGGGCUUCUUGUACUCAGAGAUUUUGCAUAUUAGAGAAUACUCAGCAGUGGAUACCUGAACGCAGCACAAAUAUCAUAUCGUUAGCCUCUCAAUAUUAAGAAAACUACAAAUGGUAGCUUAGAAAAGAAAUGAAUCCUCUCCAACCAAAUACAAAUCAUAUUACCCCAAGUUCAAGCAAAAUCAAGACUAAACAAAUGAUUAGAUGUUGUAGGUUGCCCGAGAAUGUCAACCAUGAAAUUACAAAAGAAAAAAAUAACUGUAUGUAUUGAACAUUAAUAAAUACAUGCUGAAAGCACAAUCUCAGCCGCAAUUUAUGACAUUUAUACGAGAUUGAAUCGCUAAAGCAAUUGAAGAAAUUGCAGAGCUCAUAUAAGUGAUUUUCACUUUGAAUUUUUAGGCUUAUCAACAAAUACAUCAUUACGAUUCUAAUGCAUGAAUUUUGUUAAAAGGGGCUUGCUUGCUUGUAUUAAGGCUUAAUCAUCAAUGAAUUUGCAAGAAGCAAUCGAUUUGCUAGUUGUAAAUCUAUUCACUAAUUACCAAAAUUACAUCUAAACGGUAGUGAAGGAAGUCAUCUUAUAUUAUCUGGAUUUUAGAAAACUGUGUAAGGUUAUAAGUCUGUUAUUAUAUAUAGUUAAAAGGGACACAAUUAGACCUCAAUCAUAUUUGGUGGUUGGUUUUUGGCCAUGAUCUGCUUCACAUCACCCCCUGCAAACAAAAAUGAACACUAAGAGAAACAAUAAACAAAUGACAUGAAACAACACGAACAUCAAAGACCAACAAUCUAUCACGUAAGUACCUAAACAAGAAACAACUUUAGUUCAAAGCAAAGCGUAAUGUAGAAACCUUCGGCACAAGAGGUGUGUUUUUGUCCUUUUGAAUUUCGGCAACAACCAUUUUAAUGUCCUUUCCUGCAAUUACCAUGAUUGGUCACUCUCAAAACCUUACCUAAGAGACCCAAAAACAAAAAUAACCGCCGAAAAAUUUAUUUAACUACAUGCUAAAAUGGAAGUGUAAUAUUGCCAAGAAAGAUAAGAAACUAUUCAAAUACAGAUUCUGGGCUUACCGCACAAAAGGCACGAGCCUAGCGGCUACCAAAAAGAACACACUUCACAUUUGGGUGAGAUUCCCAUUCAUCCAGAUAGCUCUUGUAUUUCACAUCCAUAUCUGCAUUUUCCAACAAUUCCCACUUAAACAGAAAUACAAAAUUCUUUGAAAAAAAGCUAACUUCUUCGAAAUGCGAAUCCAACGUUUCGUCUUAUAACAAAUGCAAUAACAUAGAUUUGUAAUCAAUACGAUGCCAUAAAGUUCAAGCUCCAAAAUUCAAAUCAGCUCCAAAUCAAAAGCAUUUACAGAUAUAUACAUAUAUACAUGUGUGUGUGUGUGUGUGUGUGUGUUUAUCUACAUACCUAGGUUCAUGGCGUUGAGAGCUUGGGGGCCGACCGAGGGUGAUGACGGCGACGCCAUUUGGGUGGACGCUGCCCUUGACGAACGCGUCGGCGGAGGCCAUGAUCCCGAAGGGGCGGAGGAGGCGAGGGGAUUUGGAUGGUUGGAAAAGAGAAAGCUUCGAAUUUGGAUUGAGGAAGAAGAAAGCGGACGACGAUUUGCUCAGAAUUUAGGUCGCUCCUCCCAAUAAGCUUCCCAUUACUUCCGGUCGGGAGUGACUGCAUCAGUGUAGAGAGAUAAAGAUAUUUUUGGUGCUUCUGGGCCGGACUACCCUUGAUGUUUCGGUUAAAUAACCGGGAAAAACAACUGCCGCAGGGAAAUUUGAAAGAGGCGUUUGACGAACUGAUUGUGAUCUGACUCAAACAUGUGAUGAUGACGAUGCAUCACCACCUUGAUUGUGUCUCUGGAUGAAAAACCUACCAUCAAGAUCAAAAUCGUGCAUAUUUUCCUUCAUAGGUUUGUCCCAUACUAGAUUAACCCCUAUUCCCUUAGCUUUCGCAUAAUUAAAUGCAUUAGUUUUCGCAUAAUUAAAUGCACCGCCUUUCAUUGGUAUUUCAAAAGUUAUAUCAACUUUAUCCCCGCUUUGCAAAUUGAGCUUAUCGUUUGAUAUUUGACCUUGCCAAAGAUAACAGCUUUCAAAUACAAUAUCGCGCAUUUUUGUAACCCAAUCUUCCUUGCCUAUGCAAGUCUGUAACUCAGUACGCUUGGUAUUAUUUAUAUCAAUACUAGCACGAGGAUGACCAUCUUUACCUCUCAUAUAAGGUCUUGGCCGAUCAAGAUAAGAGCGGUAAAAGCAUAACAGAGUUAGCCCUUCAAAACUACGACCAUCACCCGGGGGAAUAUCAAAGCUAACUUCAUUACCAUCAUUGACAAACUCGAACCAAUCAGGAACAUAAUUCCCAUUGAGAAAAAUGCCACCAUAUCCGCAAGAAGUCCAUCCCUAUAUAUAUAUUGCAAGUGUCAUAACUAUAUACAUACAUGUACAUGUGUGUUGUGUGUGUGCAUGUGCGCAAUAGGAAGACAAUUAAAGAGAGAGAGAUACCUUUAGGACGUUCCUCCUUAAAUCAGCCGUGAGUUUGGUGCACUUACUCAUAUCAAUCCAUGUCAUGGAGUUUAAUGACUUAUCCAAGUCUGGAACCUCAGUGAGUUCGUGUGAAUCACAUACAUUCAGUUCCCUCAUAUUUGACAUUUUCGAAAAAUUGGGCAUUGUUACCAAACGAUAGCAACUAGAUGCAUCCAGAAAUUUCAAAUUUGUUGGUAAAUCAUAGAUUGUAUGAAGCUGGGAGCAAUAACUUAACCACAAACUUUCAAGUUUUGAAAGACCACUGAGGCUGGGUAGGGUAUGAAAAUAAUUGACUGAGAGAUCUAAAUUUCUUAAAGAGUCUAAGCCGUGUAACGAAUCGGGAAAUUGCAAAGGAAACUUCGAUCCCACAAAAUUAUUGAGAGAUAAAUGAGUGAGAUUCUUCAAUCUUACUGUGGAACGCGGUACUUGUCUUAUGGCUGUAGUAGAUGCUUUAAGUACUCUCAAUGAUAUCAUCUUCCCUAAACCCUCGGGCAAUUCACUGAAUUGCCAACAAAAAUCAAGAACAAGAGUCUGAACGGAUUUGGACCUGUAGAAAUCCCCAGGAAGAGAAAUAAGAUUCUUGCAGCGUGUGAGGUUCACCAAAGAAAGUUUUUUAAGAUGACCAAUGGAGGGGUGAAUAUCGGACAAACUCCUACACCUUUCCAAUAUCAACUCUUCAAGAUUUGGGAGAUUUGAAAAGUCUGGUGAUUUUUUUAAGUCAGAGCAACUUCCAAGAUUAAGGACCUUCAAGUUUUCAAGUGACUGUUGCACAAAAUCAAAGAAAAAUUAAAAUUAAUAUCCAAAAGGACUAUCUCAGAAAAAAAGAAGGAAAUCCAAAAAACAAAUACAAACAUAACAUCAUCAUGUGUAAUCGAUUGUACCUUGGAGCCCUCCCAAACUUGUACCAGGUCGCUAGAUGUUAUCUCUAAAAUAACUAGUCUUGGUUGAUCAAAGAAGUCAUCUGGUAUGGACUUUAAAGGGCAUCUUUCCCAACACAACCAUAUUAACUCCUUGGGGAGAUGUUUGUAUUCUCCAUUGAGCUGCACGUUGUAGAGCUUGAGCAGUCUCAGUUUCUUCAUAUUGGCAAAUGCUUCUGUACUGAACCCAGGCAUGUUAGACCUUGGAGGCCAAGGAGGAGGGAUACCUAGAGCAAGUCCUUCAACUUCUUCAGUUCCCUGUUAACAAAAGGUUAUAUUCAUGUGUAAGAAACGGAUUAUUUGCAUACGUUUACAUGUAUGAAUACAAGCAAGUACUAUUGUUGGCUAAUUGAGAUGAAUGUUAAUGUAUAAUACACAUCCGUGAGUUAUAUGUGCUUUUCAUGUACAAUGCAUUAAUUCAGAAUUUUAUUGGGAAUGUACUUACAGAUUUAUCUCUCAAUACUUUAAUGACCUCUUGCCGGUUCCACAACCUACUCCACUCUCCAGGCUGACGAGGGGAUUUUUCAGAAAUGAUUAAUUUGGCCAUUUCUCGAAGCAAAUCAUGCAUAUUCAACACGUUGUCUUCAACAGUUAUAAGGCAUCGUUCACGGAGGUCACUGAUUCCUAUUGUUGCAAAAAAGUUACAUCCAUCUAAUAUUUUUGCGACAUAGUCCUUAUCCCAUCCAAUAAAGAAACAAGAAAUGUCAAGGAAUAUAUCCUUUUGUGUAGGAUCUAGCCUUUCAAAGCUUACUCUUAGCGGUUUCAUUAUUCCUUUAUCAGGAAAUUUUUUCAAUUUCUCCAACUGACUUUUCCACUCUAUUGGGGUUCUUUCAAUCAUAGAAGAACCUAAAACUUCAAGGGCUAUUGGCAAACCACCACAGUAAGAAACAACCUCUUUUGAGAGUUCAAGAUAUCCUUCAUUAGGCCAACUCUUUCCAAAGGCAUGCCAACUAAAGAGCUUCAGAGCUUCUUCUUCAUUCAUUUCCUUAAGCGGAUAUGUCUUGUCCACUUUCAUGUUCACUUGCUUUAGUAAACAUUCAUCUCGUGUCGUUAUGAUAAUUCUACUUCCUGGACCAAACCAAUCACGAUUUCCAGCUAUGGCAUUUAGUUGUUCCACUUUGUCUACAUUGUCAAUAAUGACAAGUACGCUUCUACGUUGGAGAUGAUUUUUUAGCAAACUGAUACCUCCAUCAACACUGGUUAUCUUAGACUCAGUCUGUUUCAAGAUGUCAGAAACAAGCUUUCCUUGCAAAUCAACCAAAUCAUAUUCACUAACGUUGGCAAGGAAACUUUUGAAUUGGAACUUAUGAUGAAUUUGGUUAUAAAUGGCUUUGGCAGCUGUUGUUUUACCUAAUCCACCCAUCCCCCAAAUUCCAACCAUGACAACGUCAUUUGAUCCACCACCUGAAAGAUGAUUGAUAAUAUCUUGAACGCGAGAAUUGAUUCCAACCGGGUGCUUGGCCACAUUUAAUUCGUUUGCACCCGGAAGCCAUUCCGUAAUGAUCUUGCCAACAAUUUCUCUAAUAAGCUUUGCUUCGCGCCUAGAUGUUGAAUUUGUAAGCAUUAGCGGGACUCAAUGAACAGUAGGAGCUAUUAGUACAUAGACAAUUUUCUUUCCUUCAUACAUAUUCUAACUAGCUACUAGCUAGCAUGUGAUUUUUUUACCAACUUGAUAAAAGAAAGAAAUUCAUUCAUUAAUUAAACUCCAAUUACGGUUUAGGUUUUAUAUGAGAGGUUAAGGUGUAUUAAUUAAGCAUGUUAAUUAUAUGAGAGAUUAAGUCAUUCACUAAAAUGUGUCAAAUCUUUAAAAGCAGGUGAAUGAUUACCCAUUGUCAAUGAUUUGAAGAUGUUGGCCAGACAAAUUUGCAGCUUCUGUAAGAGCCUUUCUCCAUUGCUUUACCCUUUCUUGUUUAGCUUCACGUUCCUUGUCAUCUUUUUCUUCACGAAUGCCCUCUUCGUGCUUCUGAAAUGCUUGAGCUAAAUCUCCGUUCUGCUUCCUAACAUGUGAAGGAUCAACAUGAUAGAAUAUUGGCAAAACACGUCGCCCCAGUUUGUAUCUGCACUUCAUGAUCUUCACCAGCUCGUCAAGACACCAACUCGAGUUCGCAUAACUCUUUGAGAAGACAAUGAUAGAGAUCCUCGCCUCUUCAAUUGCCCGGAACAGUUCCUCUUUUAUUUCUUCCCCUCUUUCUAGAUCGUCCUCAUCGAUAUAAGCCUGGUAUCCCCUCUCUGUUAAUGCCGCAUGGAGGUGGCCCGUGAAGCCAUUGCGUGUGUCCACACCGCUGAAGCUCAAGAACACGUCGUAAUUCCAAAGUUUUGACUUGGAGGAGGAUGACGAGGAGGCUUCGUGGGUUGUCAUGGGGGUAUCCACCGUUAUGGCACUGCAGUGGUUCAGAUCACGACUGAAUUAAGGAAUGCACAACUUUACUUUUAUGAUUAUUUUCAAUGACAGCUAAAGGUCAGAUCCAAAUGAAAAUAAAAGUUAGGACUUCACAAAACCAAUAAAAAAAUAUAAUUCCCAAGUUACAAAUACCCACCAAAUGAUUCCAGAUAAAGUUUUAAACUCAAGGUCCGGCCCAAAUGAAAUUAAAAGUUAGGACUUCACAAAACCAAUUGAAACAGAAACCAAAUGGUAGAAGUUGAAAAAAAUAUAUGGUCAUGAAUCGAGAACUUCAUCAAACUAAUAGCAAUAAAAUCUCAUAUAAUAUGUCAAAAACCAAAAAAGAGAAAGAGGUAAUUUCAAGACCUUGUAACGCCGAGGCCUCGUACAGUUGUAGUAAUAAUAUAUGGUUGAUGCACCUGUUGCUCAAUCAAAUCCUUUGUCUGGCUAAAAAAAUAAAAUCUAUAAAUACAUUCACGUCCAAUUUAUGAGAAAUCAUGGGAAAGCAAAUGCACUGAGAACGGAAUCAUGAAUAUGUAGAACUUGCCAAAAAGAAAAAGAAAACUUUUUAUAGUGUGCCAAGAACAUCCUCCUACUCCUAGCAAUUUUUUAUGGCAUUAUCCACUUUUCAAUUCAUAAUUCAACCAGCAACUCAAAGUCUAUAGUGUAUGAAAAGGUGAUAUCUUAGUUGAUCACGAUGAUAAUUAAGUAGAUUAAAUGACGACCCAUAAAGCAUACAAAUUCAGAAAAGAAAAGGUACGAAACUGCCAUAAGAAAACGCAGAAUAUAUAAACCGGAAAUCAAAAGAAGAGAAGCGAAAAAGGAAGAAAAAAAAAACCAAACAAAAUUAUUAGGUUUGGGAUAUACCUUUAUCUGAAACGCCACAAUCAUCAAAGUCAAACAUAAACAAUCCAAAAAUUUGUGGAAAAUACCAGUAAAUGCUCAACUAAAAACGAAAGAAAAUGUAGAAUAAGUUUACCUGUUCUCCCCCUAAUUAAACUGGAAUAACAUUCACCACUAAUAUUCUCGUCGUCAUCCUCUUCAGCCUGAAAAAUUUAGUAGAAAUACUCAAUGAAGACGCUUAAUGUAGACAGUAAUAUUAGCAAUGGAGGAAUUGAAUUGAUAACCAAAACUGCAAGACCAAAUGACUAUUUAGGUUCAAAACAGAAACUCGUCUGCUAGAUGUCUCAUCUUUAGGCAGUGCCUUGUUCUUGUUUUUUUUUCUUUUUUUUUUGUUGUUGCAUGUCUUGUGAAGUUCAUGUAAAUCAACAAAAUUGAUACUUUUGACACAACCAACAAUGGAGAGGUAAAAAGUUAAAAACAUUAGGAAUGUCUUCAUUUUUGUAAUGGAUUUUGCAAGUCAGAAAUUCUGUUCGAGAAUUUGCAACCCAGAAAGUCCGCCAGAAAUUAUUAACAAUCACAGAUAAGCACCGAAUGAAGGCCAAUCUAAUAAGCCAAAAUAUGUAGGGCACUAAAGAAAUUACCCAGUAACAAUAAUAGAUAAGCACAUAUGAAACUAAAGAAAUUUUUCAUUACUAUCAACUCCCAAAAAAAAAAAAAAAAAAAACUGUGCAAUCCAAAAAAUGUUGAUACAUAGUUGGAGUAUCAAUGCCUGAAAUUGGUAUUUGAACCACGAAUAUGUUUGUUAGCUUAAAGGUUUGGGUUGAAGUUGUGAAAGGAAAUGUAAUUUCUUAAAAGAAGGAGAGAAUGCAAAGAUGAAUACAGAAUGGUUCAUGUGGCCACCUUGUUAAGGCACAGAAAAAGACAUCAAAUUUUAUACUUGUUGCAUCCAAGGUAUGCAACAGCCUCCCACAGAAAUUACAGAAAUCAAAUCAAGAAAAAAGAUAAUUACACAAUAAUUACACCUUCACUAAGAAAAUAAAUUAUAAAAACGAAGACCGUGAGAAUAAUUACC